GAGGUGGCCAGAGUAUUGGAGCCUCAGCUUCAGGAUCUGUCCUUCCAGUGAGCACUCAGGGAUGGUUUCCUUAAGAAUGGAUAGGUUUGAUCUUCUUGCAGUUCAUGGGACUCUCAAGAGUCUCCUCCAGCACCAUAAUUCAAAAGCAGAAGAGUCAGAUAGAUCAGGCAAAUGGCUCAUCUAGCCCACCAUCCUGUUCUCACAGUGGCUAGCCAGUUGCCUGUGGGAAACCCAGAAGCAGGACCUCAGCACAGCAGUACUCUCCUGUCCUGUGGUUUCCAGCAACUGGGAUUCAGAAGCAUUACUGCCUCUGACAGGGGAGGUAGAACAUAUCCAUCAGGGUUAGAAGCACUAUUGGAUAGAAUGAGAUGAUGUUCCUUUGAUGCCUCUUGCAAGGAUAAAGGUAAAGGGACCCCUGACCGUUAGGUCCAGUCGUGGCCGACUCUGGGGUUGUGGCGCUCAUCUCGCUUUAUUGGCCAAGGGAGCCGGCGUACAGCUUCGGGGUCAUGUGACCAGCAUGACUAAGCCACUUCUGGCGAACCAGAGCAGCACACGGAAACGCCGUUUACCUUCCCGCCAGAGCAGUACCUAUUUAUCUACUUGCACUUUGACAUACUUUUGAACUGCUAGGUUGGCAGGAGCAGGGACUGAGCAACGGGAGCUCACCCCGUCGCGGGGAUUCGAACCACUGACCUUCUGAUCAGCAAGUCCUAGGCUCUGUGGUUUAACUCACAGCGCCACUCGUGUCCCUCUUGCAAGGAUACCUCAGGAUUAUUCUGCAUCUGUAUUCUAAUUCACAAAAGCCAAGCAAUUUCACAUUGCUCGGUUCCCCAAAGUACAAUCUGCUUUGACCAAUGCCGAUGCUAAACCUUUCCUGAUGUGCUCUCAAAAAACUUUACAGCAGUGCUCUUCUGACUAAGGGGGAGAAUACAGAAGAAAAUGGUAAUUUCAGGAUUGAUGAAGCUUAAAACAGGCAGUAUUAAGAAUCUAAGCAUACGCCAUAUAGGGUGUGGGGGAAAUCAAGGCCAGGGAAAACAACACAAUGUCUAGGCAGCAGUAUUGAACUCCAGUAAUUACAAAGCACUUCACUCAGCUUCCAGAACACCCAUUUAACCAGCAACCUUUCCCACUGCACAGAAAUGACAAUAUUGGUGAAUUAAGUACAUCUCCAAGAGAGGCUUAUUAAAUUAGCCUAAUACCUUAUUGCAUGAUCAAUAACAAUGUAUUUAUUUUUUUCCCAGUGGCCCGAAGUGACUUUUCAUUAGGCAUUUUGAAUUGCCUUAGAAAUUACUAGAUAUCAAUUUAGAAUACUCUCAGAAGAUAGUAUCCCUGCUCCAUUUGCUUAAGGGAGAAAGAUGAACACAUCCUGUUUCUUGAGUGGGGAGGGAGGGUUUUGGGGGAGCACAUCAGGAAAGGUUUAGCAUCUUUUUCCUUUGAAGGGCCAUUGACCCACAGAGAAAGUCAACCCAGGUCUGCGGCCAAUGAUGGACAGAGCCAGAGUCACAGUGGGUGGAGUUUAUAGCAGUUCAUGACUGCCUAGUCUCUGCCCCAGUGUAGGUCUGUGGCUACAUGAUACAGCCAUCUUGAUGUGGGGGGGGGGGGAAUGAAUAAAAAAACUGGUAUCUUUGAAGGACACUGCGAUUACUCCUUCUACUCAUUAUUCAUACCAUUCUCUCAGUCAGCCAAGAAAACACGUUUUCUCCUAGCAAUAAACGUGCAAACUUGUGUAUCACAAAUCCAGAUUCGCUGCACCACAGCACAAUGAUGUGAUAGUCAGUUCCCAAAAGGUCAGUGCGGAAGGGUGAAAGGGGAGCGCAAAUAACCAACCCAAGAAGUAUAGCUUGCAGUACACAAAUGCAAAGCAUACUGGCUUACAUUCAAGAGGUAUACACAGGGCCGUCUUUACCUGGGGGUGCAAGCGGUAUGGGGCACCCGGGCGCCGAAUUUCGGAGGGCGCCAAAUGCAUACUUGCUGUAUGUGAAAAGCAAUGGAGUGAAAGUCCCUGCCUCCUCCUCCUCUGUUACUCUGUAGCCCGACGAGUUGUCGUUAUAGGUGAGCAACUCCCCCCCUAAAAAAGCUCAACAACUUUGAGUUUGCUCCCCCCCUAAAAAAAGCUCAAUAAAAGUUAAUUUGGGGGCAGCUAAACUAAAUUAGGACUUGCCGAUCAGAAGGUCGGCGGUUCGAAUCCCCACGACGGGGUGAGCUCCCAUUGCUUGGUCCCUGCUCCUGCCAACCUAGCAGUUUGAAAGCACGUCAAAGUGCAAGUAGAUAAAUUGGUACCGCUCCGGCGGGAAGGUAAACGGCGUCUCCGUGCACUGCUCUGGUUCGCCAGAAGCGGCUUAGUCAUGCUGGCCACAUGACCCGGAAGCUGUAUGCUGGCUCCCUCGGCCAAUAAAGCGAGAUGAGUUCCGCAAUCCCAGAGUUGGCCAUGACUGGACCUAAUGGUCAGGGGUCCCUUUACCUUUACCUUUACCUUUAAACUAAAUUUGGGGCGCUGGGCAAAUCUUUGCACUCCGACGGCCCUUGGUAUGCCCAAUGUCUGCUUAGAAGUUUUAUUGCAACCAAGUGGUAUGUAACUUAACAAAUCCAACCAGUACAUAGAGAAUGACAAAGGCAUGGGCUGAAAUGCUGAGACAGGAUGUGGCCAACUUCCUAAUGUAUACUCCCAUAUGCUGCCUGAGCACUGCACCGUAGAUACCAUUGGCACAAUCGGAGAUCUGUGCCUCCCAAGCUCUUGUGGGCUGCGCUUACACCCAACAGCCACUAGAGGCCACUGUGGCACCUGCCAAACUGGUGGUCAAAUGCAAUCUGCCUUGCGGCUCCCACUGCUCAGAGCGACUUGGGGAACAGAAAGCAAGACAGUAUCUGCAAAGAGUCUGGGUGUUUCCUAUGAGCGGACCUUGUCAGGUUUUAGCUCAAUCUAAUCUAAACUUCACUGCCACUGAAGAAAAUGAUGCAUUAAGCAAAAGAACCCCUUAGGAUAAAAGCAAGUUGGUGUGUGUGGAGGGGUGUGUUUGGAGAGUUAAAGCCAGGCUGUUUUAUUUCAAAUCAACAUGUGAUUUCUCACCUCUGGGGUUCUCUGUUGUGCUUUCCCAGUUUCCCAGUACGUUUCCGAGCACAAUUCAAAGUGUUGGUGCUGACCUUUAAAGCCCUAAACGGCCUCAGCCCAGUAUACCUGAAGGAGCAUCUCCACCCCCAUCGUUCUGCCCGGACAUUGAGGUCCAGCUCCAAGGGCCUUCUAGCAGUUCCCACAUUGCAAAAGGUAAGGUUACAGGCAGAGGGCCUUCUUGGUAGUGGCACCCGCCCUGUGGAACGCCCUCCCAGCAGAUGUCAAGGCAAUAAACAACUAUUUUACUUUUAAAAGACAACUGAAGGCGGCCCUGUUUAGGGAUGUUUUUAAUGUCUGAUGCUGUAUUGUUUUUAAUAUUCAGUUGGAAGCCGCCCAGAGUGGCUGGGGAAACCCAGCUAGAUGGGCGGGGUAUAAAUAAUAAAUUAUUAUUAUUAUUAUUAUUAUUAUUAUUAUUAUUAUUAUUACUAUGUUCUUCCCUCUGGCCUUCUUCCCCAUUUUAUUUGUACAGACUAGGUCCAGCGGUAUUGUUAGGCCCAUGCAGAGGCGGACUUAGGGGUGUGCAACUGGUUCACUUGCACUGGGUGUGGAGCCUCAGGGGUGCUGUAGGGGGCGCUGCAGCUAUGAUGGAAGGCAAGAGGUGGGGGUGCUUAAUGCACAUGUGGUGGGACUGUGUGAGGAUAUGAGAAUUUUGGGACAUAAUAUACAACAAACUCAAAAGGAUCUUUAAAUUCUCUUUUAAAAAAACAAACAAACCCCAGAAGCCUUUCUGUUAGGCAUUAUGUCCACUGAAAUAAAAAAAUCAACUUUAGAACCAUCUUUAUGUAUGCAACCACAGCAGCCAGAAUUCUGGUAGCAAAAAAUCAGAAAGGGGACUUAAUUCCUACAAAGCUUGACCAGCAGGUGAAGAUGAUAGAAUACCUGGAACUCGCGAAAAUGACUGGGAGAAUAAGAGGAAGCUCAAAUCAGAAAGUGAGCAAAGAAUGGACAAUAUUUAAAGAAUAUUUAAAGCAAUAUUGUGAAAAUGCAAAACUCCUGACAGGUAUAGAUUGAAUCUUGAAUAUUAAAGAAAAUUAUAAACGUAUUUUUUUUUCUUGAUGUGUAAUGGAUAUAAAAGGAAGUGCGUAUAGGCUAAGAAUAUUUAGAAAGCACAACGAGGUGAAUUGGAAGUCAAAAAUGUGUGUGAUGUUAAAUGAUGUGUAGUGAAUUAAGGUUUAGUUGUUUUUGUGGUAUUGUUUUUGUCUGUUUGUGCUGUAUGUUUUGCAAUAAAGAUAAUAAUUUUUUAAAAAAGCAAGAGAGAGAGAGAGAGAGAGAGAGAGAGAGAGAGAGAGAGAGAGAGACAGGUGGGGGUUCUGGCAUCGCACAGGGCGCUGCUGAAAUUUGAGACCCCAAGGUGCACCACUGGCCCAUGCCAAGGCCCAAGCCACAGUAGCAGUACCCGUUCAUGAUGCAGACUGAGGCAGUGGAAUCCCCUAGGGAAAGUCUGUAAAUUUUGAUAAUAAACCUGAUUUGAAUUGGGGGUUAAAUAAUUUUGACUGCAACUGUGACUAUAUCUAUAUCUACCUAUCACAUCACCUGGAAAUGCCUCUUUGCUUGCCUGGUUGGAGAUAUGUGUAGAAACCGUUGCACCAUACGAAGACAAUCCUUACCUUCAUUGGCCCACCCACUUUUGCCCUUAAAGAACUUGAGAACCACAAACUGCUUGAGGAAAGGCAGGAGGGUUGGAGAAUUGCGAUGUCGCUGGACUAUGUGUCCCAUCAUCCCUGAUCAUCGACCGUGCUGGAUGGGGCUGAUGGGAGCUGGAGUCCAGCAGCCCCAGGAGGGCCACAGUUUCCCCAUCCCUGAGUUGAGGGAUGUGGGCGUGUUCAAUGGGAGACCUCUGAGAUGUCUAUGCAAGCCACUCAAAGGCCGUUCCUAAGGAAGGAUGUGAUAAGUAUGAAAAUAAAAUAAAAUAACACCUGGGUUCUGACUUUUGGACUUAUUUAUUUAUUUAUACUUUUCAAGUUUAUACAUUUCACUAAUUUUACAAUCAUUUUGACAUUUCAGAACUUGACUUCCUUCCCCCUCUUUCCGCAGUACCUUAAAUUUGUUUUUAAUAUCUUCCGCAUAUCCAGAUUAACUUAAUUUGCUCGUUUAUUCAUCUUCUUUAAAUAUAUACUCUUAUAAAACUGCAGGUUAUUACAAUAAUCCUGGCGAUGUUUUUAUCUGUUCAUAAUUUAUCUGUAAAUAUUCAAUAAACCAUUUCCAUUUUAUUGUAAAAAAAAAAAGUUAUCUUGAUUUCUUAUUCUUCCGGUAAGUUUCGCCAUUUCUGCAUAUUCCAUACGUUUUUGUAUCCAUAUUUCCAUUUUUGUUGGCAAGUAACAUUCCUGCUGCUGUAGACGAAUGUACACGAAUAAGUUUCUAUACAUUUUAGGUAGUUCUGUCCCUACAAUUCCCAAAAGAAAAGCUUCUGUUAUUUUUUUUAUAACUACUGGGUAGUUCGACUGCACUUCAACCCUAUGCACAAUUUCUGAGAAUAAGUCUGCUGAAAUGAACCAGACUUACUUCUGAGUAGACAUACAUAGGUUUGAGCUGUUAGAUGUUUAGUAGACUUUUCCUAGUUGGCAAUCUUUUUUUUGUUUUUUUAAAAUAAUAUUUAUUGCUUUUCCAACAAUUUAAACACUACAAAAAACAAAAAAAAGAAUAGACAAUACAAUACAAUGCAAAAACACUACAUAACACUAACACAAAACACUAAAUAAACAAAGCAAAAGCAAUUUAAAACACAUCAAAUAAUUUCAAUAUCUUAUCUUUCAUUCACUUAUUUCAACGACCUCCUCACACCUCCCUUUUUGUAUUCCACUUCUGUUAAUUAUUUCAGCAAUUCCUUUCCAUCUUCCUCUGUUUUCUAUCCUAAAAUUAUCUUAACAUUCUAACCUUAUUUUUCCCCUUUAACAUUCUAUUAAUCUAUUUAUACUUAAUUCCUUAUAACAUUUCUACUAAAGCCAUAUAAUUUCAUUCCAACAUUCUUCUAACAUUCAUUAAUUUUGCAGUAUUUCUGUAAAUAGUCUUUAAACUUUUUCCAGUCUUCUUCCACCGACUCUUCUCCCUGGUCUCGGAUUCUGCCAGUCAUUUCCGCCAGUUCCAUAUAGUCCAUCAACUUCAUCUGCCAUUCUUCCCGGGUGGGUAAAUCUUGUGUCUUCCAAUACUGUUGUUGCAUACAUAAAAAAAGUUCUAUCCUUCUUUGGCACCAAUUGGCUGACCAUGCCCAGGAGAAAGGCCUCUGGUUUCUUCAGGAAGGUAUAUUUGAAUACCUUUUUCAUUUCGUUAUAAAUCAUCUCCCAGAAUGUCUUAAUCCUUGGGCAUGUCCACCAAAGGUGAAAGAAUGUACCUUCAGUCUCAUUACAUUUCCAACAUUUAUUAUCGGGCAAAUGGUAGAUUUUUGCAAGCUUGACUGGUGUCAUGUACCACCUAUAAAUCAUUUUCAUUAAGUUUUCUCUUAGGGCAUUACAUGCCGUGAAUUUCAUACCUGUGGUCCAUAACUGUUCCCAGUCAGCCAUCAUUAUGUUAUGUCCAACAUCUUGUGCCCAUUUAAUCAUAGCUGAUUUCACCAUUUCAUCCUGAGUAUUCCAUUUCAACAGCAAGUUAUACAUUCUUGACAAAUUCUUAAUUUUUGGAUCUAAUAAUUCUGUUUCCAAUUUUGAUUUUUCCACCUGGAAAGCAACUUUUUUGUCCAAAUUGUAUGCCUCCAUUAUUUGGUAAUAAUGGAGCCAAUCUCGCACUCUGUUUUUCAAUUUUUCAAAGCUCUGCAAUUUUAUUCUGUCUCCAUCUUAUUCCAAAAUUUCCCAAUAUUUCGGCCAUUUGGCCUCCAUAUUGAGUUUUUUCUGUGCCUUCACUUCCAUUGGUGACAACCAUCUUGGGGUUUUCUUUUCUAACAAAUCCUUAUAUCUUAUCCACACAUUAAACAAUGCUUUUCUAACAAUAUGAUUUUUAAACGCUUGAUGUGCUUUUACCUUAUCGUACCACAAAUAAGCAUGCCAGCCAAAUGCAUUAUUAAAACCUUCUAGAUCCAACACGUCAGUGUUUUCAAGAAGCAGCCAUUCUCUCAGCCAGCAAAAGCAGCUGAUUCAUAAUAAAGUUUAAGGUCUGGCAAUCUGAACCGUGUCCAUCAGUUAAGACAGUGGUGUCCAAACUUUUUCCAAAGAGGGCCAGAUUUGAUGAAGUGAAGGCCCAUGAGGGCCAACCAGAGUUGUUGACCUUUUUCUAGGAUUGAAGUUGUUAAGCUUUUUUAUGAUUUUACCCCAGGAAGUAAACUGCUACAGGGGCCGGAUUAAAUAGGCCGGUGGGCCGGAUUGGGCCCCCAAAACAUACAGACUUUGGACAUGCCUGAGUUAAGACGACCUACUUGGAUUUAAACUGCUUUAAUUUGUUUGGCUAUUGCUGAGGAUUUGAGCCAAUUAAUCUUACACUGUGCUAGUGACAACUAGGAUGGGUGAAUAUGCCGAUUUGAGCUGCUCUCCAUUCCUCAUUUUUCCAGUCUUCAAUUCUUCACAUUGCCACAUCAUUUUGCUUUAAGAAAAGGGCCCGUGAAAAUUCAUCAUCAUUUUAGUGUGAAUUUCUCCCAAUAUUCUCAUUUUUGUAUGCAAUUUUGCCCAAUACACACAUUUUUGCAAAAAAAUCCCCUAAUGUAAUGCAUCUGUCUAUGUUAUUUCCACUAAUACAUGCAUUGAAAUGCACAAUUUGCACCAGUGUGUGCAUUUUUGUACACAUUACUUGGCUGGAGAACUGCAUUGCAAAAUUCAGAGAAGUGCGAAUUUUGAACAAUGGCUAUGUUUAUAUUUAUGCAUUGUUUUGGGAAAUGUGAGUUUGCCUUUAAAUCCAAACUGAUCAGAUUUGUCCUCCAUCUCUAGACUGACAACUCAACACUAGAUAGAUUGGCUGGAGCCCCAGCACUGCUAAAAUUGUCUUGUGGGAGAUUCUGGUUAUGCUAUAGAUCAGGGAAUCUUAUGCAACUCUAAAUCAUCUACGAAGUCCUGAACCACUGCUCCAAUGAUCCCCCUGUUGGAGCCAGCAGCCGGAUGAUACUCACAGGGGUUGACUGUAGGUCUGUGGUUUGCAGCUCACAAAAUUCUGGAACAGUGGGUGGUAUUUCUGCUCGCGCAACUGGAUUCCCCCUUCCUCACUUUCCUCUGAACUCCCCCACAAAUCUGCUCCUAAUUCCUCUUUUUGAGGGCAUGAAAGGGGCUCCAGGAAAGAGGAGAAAAUGGGGACGUUCCAUUCCUCAAGCAGAAUUUUCUCUUUCAUUAAUGGAUCGGGAAUGGAAGAUAAUGCACACUGUACUAAAUCAGGGCUGCGAACACUUGAGAUAAAAAUAUUCUGGUGCCCAGGUGGGUCCUAUGAUGGAGCUUAAGCGUGGAGACCAGCAGUUUAUGAGAAAGCAGAAUAUAUCACUCAUGGCCUUAUAAUGGCAUUAUAUGUACUCUGUGCAAUCUGUUCCUCUUUUUUGACUGCUGCCUUUCAAAUUUGCAGUUGAUAGUUUGAUAUUACGCUCAUUUUAUUAGCCCUGUCCAGACAGUCUAAACCACACAAUUAACAUCACAUGGAGUAGGAAAGUAAGGCCAUCCCAAUGACCCCAGCCAUAUGUCCCCUGCCAGCCCCACUACUGCUGCCCAUGAGUUAGGGGGCGGGAUGAAGCGGGGAGCCUGUCACAGGGGGUUCUCAAUCACAGACCUUCCCCCUCAAUGUGUGGAUGUAUGGUCACUUGGGAUGUGAGGCCAGUAGUUGUUGUUCCCCCUCUUGCCCCACAUGAUAUUAAUAUCAUAAUUUAGAGCACCUAAACAGCCUUUUUUUUUGCAAUGCACGUGUGUCUAUUGUUAGCCUCCUUAAGGCAAUUGUGAAAGGUAGGAUAUACAUAAAUAUAAUACAGUCAUACCUCAUGUUGUGUCCGCUUCAGGUUACAUGUUUUCGUGUUGCGUCCCACGGCAACCCAGAAGUACUGGAACGGGUUACUUCCAGGUUUCGCUGCUCACGCAUGCACAGAAGCACUAAAUUGUGCUGUGCGCGUGCGCAGACAUGACACUUCGGCUUGCUUCAGUUCCGUGUUACGGACAGGCCUCUGGGACAGAUCCCAUCCGUAACAUGAGGUUCCACUGUACAUUCUUCUUCAUCAUCAUCUACUGAUUAAUGUCAAAAUGGGCUUACAAAGUAGUGGCUUAUAAAGUACAGUGGUACCUCCGGUUGCGGACAGGAUCCGUUCCAGAGGUCCAGUUGGAUCCCAAGGUUUCCGCAACCUGAGGACCGCUUCUGCGCAUGCACAUGUGGCAAAACCCUGUAAAAUACUUCCGGGUUUGCCGCUUUCACAUCCCAAAGUUUACGUAACCAGAGGGUUACGUAACCGAAGGUACUACUGUACAUAAAACCCAACAAACAUUAAUGUCUUGACACUUGAGGUGUAUGUUUUAAGGACCCACCCUAUGUUUAUGAUUGCUUUAAAUAUUGUGUUUUAAUACCUUAACCCACCUUGGGACCUUAGAGUGAAGGGCAGGUAAUAAAUAAAUAUUAUAAAUAUAGAUAUAAGCAUCCAUAAUCAAAACAUACAAUAAACCAAUCCCCAUCAGGAUAACACUGCAAUGAAAACCGGAGAGUUCUGUCGACAGAUCAAGGGACUGCCUAUAUAAACAGGUGCAGUCUUCAUAAAAUGCGUAUCAUAAGUCUCUCUCUCUCUUUUUAAUGCUCCCCAAAAUCUUUGGCACUGCAAGCUGAAUUUUUGGCCAUAUUGAAAAGGAGUAAGCGCUGUCAGCAUGAAGGGAAGGCUUUAGAAUAGAAUCAUAGAAUCAUAGAAUCAUAGAGUUGGAAGAGACCACAAGGGCCAUCGAGUCCAACCCCCUGCCAAGCAGGAAACACCAUCAGAGCACUCCUGACAUAUGGUUGUCAAGCCUCUGCUUAAAGACCUCCAAAGAAGGAGACUCCACCACACUCCUUGGCAGCAAAUUCCACUGUCGAACAGCUCUUACUGUCAGGAAGUUCUUCCUAAUGUUUAGGUGGAAUCUUCUUUCUUGUAGUUUGGAUCCAUUGCUCCGUGUCCGCUUCUCUGGAGCAGCAGAAAACAACCUUUCUCCCUCCUCUAUGUGACAUCCUUUUAUAUAUUUGAACAUGGCUAUCGUAUCACCCCUUAACCUCCUCUUCUCCAGGCUCCCAGCUCCCUUAGCCAUUCCUCAUAAGGCAUUGUUUCCAGGCCUUUGACCAUUUUGGUUGCCCUCCUCUGGACACGUUCCAGUUUGUCAGUGUCCUUCUUGAACUGGGGUGCCCAGAACUGGACACAGUACUCCAGGUGAGGUCUGACCAGAGCAGAAUACAGUGGCACUAUUACUUCCCUUGAUCUAGAUGCUAUACUCCUAUUGAUGCAGCCCAGAAUUGCAUUGGCUUUUUUAGCUGCUGCGUCACACUGUUGGCUCAUGUCAAGUUUGUGGUCAACCAAGACUCCUAGAUCCUUUUCACAUGUACUGCUCUCAAGCCAGGUGUCCCCAUCUUGUAUUUGUGCCUCUCAUUUUUUUGCCCAAGUGCAAUACUUUACAUUUCUCCCUGUUAAAGUUCAUCUUGUUUGUUUUGGCCCAGUUCUCUAAUCUGUCAAGGUCGUUUUGAAGUGUGAUCCUGUCCUCUGGGGUGUUAGCCACCCCUCCCAGUUUGGUGUCAUCUGCAAAUUUGAUCAGGAUGCCCUUGAGUCCAUCAUCCAAGUCGUUGCUAAAGAUGUUGAAUAAGACCGGGCCCAAGACAGAACCCUGUGGCACCCCACUAGUCACUCUUCUCCAGGAUGAAGAGGAACCAUUGAUGGACUGCAUACAUAGAUGUGCCAUUGUGAGCAUCAGUGACUGGGAAGAAAUGGCGACACUUUGCUGGGAUUCUGGAGGUGGGGUGCUUAGACCACAUAACAGGAAUAUUUAGUCCUACUUCUUCCCUUUCUUUUUAAAACUCAGGGUGAUCUUUGCCCAGCUUUGUAAAAGUGAACAAGGAGAAGUUCCCUUGAAAGAGACCUUUUAAUCAGUAUUCCAUUCUGACAGCAGGGGCUAAAGCCUGGCCAAAACAUUUUUUACUAUUAAGUCAGUUCAGCAUCAAAGCCCUAAAUGAUGCAUACAAUUUCAUGGCUAGCCCCUUGGCUUCAAUGUUAUGACUGAUCAGCAGCAGAAGAAAUGCCUUUUCAUUUAGCUGAGGUUGCACCGGAAGAGUCCUAGGGUGUGGAAGAAAAUGCUACACACACACACUCUCUCUAUUUCUCUCUCUUACUUUUUCUUCCCGUCCUCCUCCUCUAUUUCCCCCCCCCUUCGAAAAAACACAUCUGUCCAUCUAAGACAUUUUUCUCCUACUGUGAAAAUAGGUCAGAGUCAUAAAGUGCCCCCCCUCCAUGCAGCCUGAGGUAAAAGAAAUAAAGUAAAAAUCAUUUUUGGUCUCUGCAUUUAUUAGCAUGGAAGAGCUGUUGGGUUACUUAGCGGAAGGUUCCUUUGAAAAUGAAAUGAAAUAAGGAGAUAAAAGACAAUCGAAACAGCUUUGUUUCUGUUAGAGGGACUGCGGUGUGCAGUGGUGGAGAGGAGAGACAUAAACAAUCAGAAAUAAGAUAUUUGAGUCCCAUUUUGGUUCAGCCAUUGCGUUUUUCCUGCCUGCAAAUGCCGCUACUGGUAACUUUAUCAUUCUUGCUACCAACAAUCAUUGUUCGAAGUAGGGAUGUACGAAAUUCUUUGACAAAAUAUGGAAGGCAAAGACUUCCGUUCCCUGCCUCAUUUAUUUAUUCACAAUAUUUGCAUCCUGCCUUUUGGCGCUUCACACCUGAGUCGAGGCGGUUCACAACGUAAUUUAAAGCAAUAUGCAAUUCCAGCAGCAAAUCUAUAUAAUUAAACCAAGUGCCAAGCUCGAAGCUGGAACAGAUGUUGGUUCAGGAUAGGAUACUGUAGUAACUGAAAGGAAGAAGCGGCAGCAAUGGCUAGACAGCACCUCUUUGGAAGGGGCCGAGAAAACCUUGGGCUUGAUGGACCACAAGCCUGACUUUGUGAAAGGCUGUUCCUGUACCCAUAAUCAGCAAGGCCAACUUUUGGGAAAAGAGGCUGCAGGUCAGUGGCAGAGUACUUCCUUCGCUUGGACAAAAAGUUCAGCUUCCUGCAUCCUUAGCCAAAGAGAUAUCAUAUGUCCUGUUUCCCCAUUAAAAACUGAAACUCUGUACAGUGGUACUUUGGUUCUCAAAUGCCUUGCUACUCAAACAACUUGGAACCCAAACACUGCAAACCGAGAAGUAAGUGUUCUGGUUUGUGAACUUUUUUCAGAAGCCAAAUGUGCUCCGUUUUGAGUGUUACGCUGAGGUCUGUCUGUUUUUGCUAUUUAUUUUGCUUUUUUUUUUUUGCGGCUCUUUUCGUGACUGUGUGGAACGCAGUUCAGCUACUGAUUGAUUGAUUGUGUGACUGCGGUACAUUGUUUCUUGCUUUCAUUUUAUGGAUCAAUGGUCUUGUUAGAUAGUAAAAUUCAUGUUAAAUUGCUGUUUUAGGGGAUGUUUUUAAAAGUCUGGAACGGACUAAUCCAUUUUGCAUUACUUUCUAUGGGAAAGCACGCCUUGGUUUUGGAAUGCUUUGGUUUUGGAACGGACUUCUGGAACGGAUUAAGUUUGAGAACCAAGAUACCACUGUACCUCUGAUAGACAUAAAUAACAAUAUGCAAGUGGUUUGGGGAGAGAUGCACCACUGAUGGCAACGCGUCACCUUCUCUUCUCCAGUUUAGGGACUGACAUUUGAUUGCGUACGAAACGAAAGGCCUUUUCCAUCUUUGGUUUCGACAUUUCCCCUGGUUCCUUGGAGACUGCGUGUGGCACGGCUUUGUUUAUGCGUGGGGCCGAGAGUAAGAGGGAAGUUUGUUUGAAUUACUCUUAGCAGGAAAGAUUGAUGUUUAAAACCAGACAUCUGGGUAGGGCCGCGAAAGGCAUUCGCUAACAGAAGAUCCAGUCUUCAAGGUAUAAUAUUUAUAAAAGCCAGGGCAAGCGGUACAUAUGUAGAUCUAGGACAAUUUGAUAUUUAUGAAGUGCCGGGGUUUUAUUUGGACAGAAAUGUUGGUAAUUAUCUUUGCAAAGGGCCAUUUAUAUAUACCAUUUGAAAGUAAAUCAAUAGCAAAUUGGAAUGCCGUUUCUUUUAGUGGACACACUUGCUGCUGAGCCGAGUGCCAGCUAAGCCGAGCAAAAUGUUUCUCGAGGCCUGCCAGGGAUACUUGGAUGCAGACAUUGCUAAUGCUCUCUGUUCAGAUUUCAAGCGGCUUUGUAAUGGCAAGUGAACCAUGUGGACAGGCCUGGCUCUGUGGGCUUCAAGGAGCUGGUUACAAUCUGUGUAAAUACGACACAGCACAAAGUAUUGUUGUAAGCUCCAUGACACCCUAAGUCACGCUAGAAGGUAGGACCACCUGGAAAACGUCUAGAGGCAUGCUGGGAAAUUAAACGCCUCCUCUCCUAACUGCGUUCUGUAGAGGGUGCUUUCUAGAAUACAUGUGUUGUUAAUUAGGGAUGUGCCUGCCAUCUUGCAACUUUUAUUAAAUCUCCCUCCCUCUCUCUCCCCCACCCCCCUUAAAAAGUUCUCAGAUGUUUUACUGGAGGAAGAAGCACCAAUCUGGCCACUUUAGUGUAAACCCAUCUUUCCCACAAGACAUCUGACUAGUCCUACCAAAACUUUAUUUUCCCCUUUUCCCUGAAAUUCUUCAGAUGUCUUACCUGGGGAGGAGCUACUACAUUUGUUUCAGGAAAAAGACAUUUGACAACAAAAUGUUGCGGCGCAUCGAGGAAUGAGUGAAUCUGUCAGAGUUGGUUCCUCUCAGUUUCUCAUUUUCCCAAUCUUAAGUAGAGUUCUUCACAUUUCCAUGUUAGUUUGCAAUUCUGUAUUAUUAUUAUUAAGUAAUCGUGAAAAUUCACCAGCAUUUUAGGGUGAAUUUGUCCCAAUAUCCAAUUUUUUUUGCAGGACAGUUUCCCUGAAUACAAUGUUUUUUGGUUUUUUUUACUAAAAUAUAAAUUUUAGGCCCACUUUACCUUGUUGUUUAGUCAUUUAGUUAUGAAUGACUCUUUGUGACCCCACGGACCAGAGCAUGCCAGGCACGCCUGUCUUCCACUGCCUCCCUCAGUUUGGUCAAACUCAUGCUGGUAGCUUCGAGAACAAUGUCCAACCAUCUCGUCCUCUGUCAUCUCCUUCUCCUUGUGCCCUCCAUCUUUCCCAGCAUCAGGGUCUUUUCCAGGGAGUCUUCUCUUCUCACGAGGUGGCCAAAGUAUUGGAGCGUCGGCUUCAGGAUCUGUCCUUCCAGUGAGCACUCAGGGCUGAUUUCCUUCAGAAUGGAUAGGUUUGAUCUUCUUGCAGUCCAUGGGACUCUCAAGAGUCUCCUCCAGCACCAUAAUUCAAAAGCAUCAAUUUUUCAGCGAUCACCCUUCUUUUUGGUCCAGCUCUCACUUCCAUACAUCACUACUGGGAAAACCAUAGCUUUAACUAUACGGACCUUUGUUGGCAAGGUGGUGUCUCUGCUUUUUAAGAUGCUGUCUAGGUUUAUCUUAGUAUAUGCAUUUUUGUACACAUCACUUGGUUGGAGAACUGCACUGCAAAAUUCAGAGAACUGCAAAUUUCAAAAGGCGGCAGUUCAAGUGGGCUCACCUUUAAAUAUGAACCAAAUCACCCCCCCGCCACUGCUACUCCUCACACCUAGCAGAAGUACAUGUGUUCAAGCUUCCAUCUCAGCCAUGCACCCAUCUCCAUGUUACUAUAAGCUGUAAUAGUUUUAACCAGGCCAAUUCUCACCGGCCUUUGGAUUUUCUAUUUUUCUUUUCGAACUGAUACUUAAUAUUCCAUAGAUCCUGGAAGCCACUGAGCAUGCUCACACCUCACUAAGUUUAUUUUGGAUCUUCUAUUGUGGCUGCAUUUGCUUUUCCAUUUUUUAAUAAAUUGCUUUCUACUUCUAUAUAACUUGGUGUGGCGUUUGCCUCCUAGGAUGGGUCAUAAGGAAAGGGUUAAAAUAGGUGUGAUGUGAUUGGCCAGUGAGAAUGCAAGGGGGGAAUAAAAGUUAGAGUGGGAGGUUUUGGAAGUCAGUUGAGGUUUGGGAGUUGAGUUGGGCUGAGGUUUGGGAGCUGAAGAAGGAAGAGGGAGGUUUAGGUGUGGGUUGGUAGAGUUGUAUUGUGAGAGAGUGAGAGGAAUUGUUAGGUGGAGUCAGAUAGAUAGUUGAAAUAAUCAAUUUGGAGUUGUUAGGAACUAAGAAAGAAACUGACAAGAGAAAAAUUAACUGAAACCAUAAGCUUGUUCCUGCAUUUAAAAAUAAACUUGAUUAUUUGUUUAUGUUAACAACUGACUGGACUCCGUGUGUCUCCGUGAGAUACGGGGUGGUGGCAGCGGAAAAAGCAAUCGCAGUGGCGGCACAGGGUCAAUAGACCGUCAAACGUCUGGGGGCCCUGUGUGUGAUCACCACACUUGGGGUUCACACAAGCAUGGCGAGACCUCCUCCUUGUUCCUCAGCGUCUGUUUUUUGGCUCCAGUCUCGUCAGCACUCACCACCCAAGUUUGCUCUCGAAAGGAACAUGAUGAUUGUGGUCCUCUGGCAAUCACAAGCCAAUCUGCAUCUCUCUGCACAUAUGCCGAUGUUAGGUUAUUUGCUGAAAAAGGAAAACAAGGUUCAUUUUAUUUUCUACCUAGCCACUAAUUAGCAGUACUGCAAGCUUUAAUUGGCAAUCUCAGUUUUAAUUGAUGAGGCUGAGAGUGCAGGGUACGUUUCCUUCCAGCCCCCAGCCCCCAGUUUGAGGCUAUUUUAGUUCCAGUCUGUUACCAUAUGAGGGAAAGAAAAAAAGUAAAUAUUAAAGUUGGCCUUCCUUUCUUCCCACGAGUGGUAGCUUUUGCUUAUUCGAAGUCAUAUUAUAUCACUCUUACUUUCAUAUCUCAAAAAAGGUCCUGUCAUGAAGUUUUGGUAAUACACACAUUUUGAUUAAUCGCCAAAUUUUUUUAGUUGGAUCACAACCCUGGGGAUAAGACAACUUAUGAAUCACUGACAAAUGGAACCCAUUUGUAGGGUGUUGAUAUGACUCUGGAGAUUAACCAGGAUCCAUAGUUUAGGGCUAAAUUAUACUAGGGUUGCCAUACGCCCGGAUUUUCCCAGACAUGCCUGGAAUUCAAAUGAUGAAAAUGGCGCCCGAGGGGAAUUUCCCAAAAUCGGCUAAAUGAGCGGUUCUCAACCUGUGGGUCCCCAGAUGUUGUUGGACUACAACUCCCAUCAUCCCUGAGCUCUGGCCUUGCUAGCUAAGGGUGAUGGGAGUUGUAGUUCAACAACAUCUGGCGACCCACAGGUUGAGAAGGGCAGAUCUAGACGUAUGGCAAUGGGGGUGAUUCCUUGCUGAAAAUGUCCCAAAAGCUGAAAAACAGGUUGUUGUUUCUUGAGCGGCUCAAAAGUGGUUCAAAAAGUGGCAUGGCGCCGGUGCCCAACUGGACCUGACAGAAGGGUCACCACCGUCACCGCUGUUGGGCUCCAGGGAGCUCUAGCUCUGCGAAGGGGCCGUCAUGAGGGACAUGCUGUUACUGCUGUCACCGCUCCUCCACUGGCCUCGGCACCCUCUGGGUCAAGAGGGCUUUGCAGUGCCACCUGGGCUGCUUCCGCUGCCCCGUCUGCCGGGAAGAGCGAGGCGACCACUGCAUGGCUUUUUCAGCCCUUUGCUUCCUGCCUCCUGCCUGGACGCCUCCCCAGCACUCCCCUCUCCCCUUGCAACCCUCUUCCUUUCCUUCUCCCUCUUUCCUUUUCCGGGAUUCUCUCCUUUUCUCCGCUUCCCAAAGUCCCUCGUCCCUCUGACGGUUUCCAGAGCUCCUUCAGACAGCUGACUUUGGAGUGAGGGGAAGGGAGGCUGGUCUUGCUUUGGAAAAGCAGUGCCAGGGCUGCAGGAGCAUCUAAGUGCCCUUAUGCCAUCUUCUCAAAAUCAGGCAGGGCAAGGUCCACCCCCCAAAAAAAAAUCUCAACAACUCUGUCCGGAUUUUCACUUUUGCAAAUAUAGCAACCCUAAAUUAUACACGGGAGAGAGGUGAGUUAAUUUCCUGUGUCUUUACAUUUUUAUUUUUAUUUUAUUUUCCCCCAAUAAAUUGUUAUUAUUUUCUUUAUACACUUAUUCAAACAAUACAUUAAUCAACAUAUAAGCCUUUUUGCUGUGCAGAGCUUGGGACUUCCCUCCUUCUCUUCAGCUGGUAUCCCUUAUCAAAUCCAAUCGCGUAUUCUAACUCUUUACAUCUUAACCUCCUGUCUACAUUGUAGGAAUUACUUCAAUCUUGCUAGUGUCUUUAAAUUUUUACAGUUAUCAUUUAAAUAUACCAUAAAUUUACUCCAGUUUUUCUGGAAUUUCUGAUCGUCCUGGAAUUUCUGAUCUUUACAUUUUUAUUUUAAAUUGGGUCAGGAUUCUGGUGUUGGGUAAGCAUUUUACCCUUUCUCCCCUGGCUGUUUUCCAACGUAACCUCCUCCCCUCCAAAAAGCUGUCAUUUGUUCCACUAGGCAAAACCUAUGGGUAUCCAUACAUUUUCUCUAACAGGGCAAACAGAAACCUCUGAUUGCGUGGGGAUUUACAUUGAGAAAACAUGUCAUGGACUGGCUGGAAUGGUGGGAGGCAGCAGCUGAGGAACCUCCAAGGGACAAAGGCUCAGAGCCCGGGGAUUAGCGAUGGGAUGAUGAUGAGUGGUCAGAAUUAGAAGAGGGAGAAGCCUGGGAGGAGGUGGUGUUGGAAGCUGAAGAGGUAACAGGGUUUAGUGAGCAGGAAGAGUCUGUGGCAGAGAGAAAUCCAGAAUCAGAACCAGAAGUGGAAGCAGGAGAAGAAAGACGGCAAGAAGCAGAGGUGAGUUAGGCUGUGUGAUGGCCUGGGACUCGGGCUCGGGCUCGGAACCAGAGGAGUCUCAGCCCGCACCGGAUCCUUUGCCUCAAGCAGCAGCUGAACCUAGUCUGGGGCCUGAUUCUGAAGAGCCCCAGUCUGCCCAGGUUCCCCUGCAACAAACACCAGCUCCAGAUGCAGGGAUUACAGUAUUUUUUGCCCCAUAGGACACACUUCCCCCUCCAAAAAUGAAGGGGAAAUGUGUGUGCGUCCUAUGGGGCAAAGGCAGGCUUUGCUGAAGCCUGGAGCGCGAGGGGGGUCGGUUUCCCCCGACCCCUCCCGCUCUCCAGGCAUCGAGCAGAUCUCCACAAGCCGUGGGAGCCCGCGCUGGGCUCCCGCGGCUUGCGGAGAGUUGCCUGCAUGCCGAAGGCUGGGCGUGCUGAGCUCAGCGCGCCCAGGCUUCACACAGCUCUCCGCAAGGCGCGGGAGCCUGGCGCCGGGCUCCCACGGCUUGCGGAGAGUUGCCUGUUCUGGGGGCUAUGGUUGGGGGAAGCUCAGGUUUUCCCCGCCCCAGCCCCGCGCCUGGGGGGAAAAUAAUUUUUUCCCCUUUAUUUCCCCCCCAAAAAACUAGGUGCGCCUUAUGGGACGGUGCAUCCUAUAGGGCAAAAAUACGGUACCUCAUUGCCUCCAGCUGGGCAAUCACUUACAGCUGCUCCAUUACCAGUUGGGUCAGGAGAGGCUGAGGCGGCCUCUGGGUCUAGUAACCCACGACAUCUCCUGAGAUGCAGAGACUAAGGUCUGAGAGAAGGAGAGACCUGAGUAAGCACAGGAGGAGUGCUCGCCUUCGGGCAAAACAGGGAGGUGAGUCACCGGGGGAUCAGGACCGACCGUUCCCCCGACAGAGAUAAAAGGCUGUCAGACCCCACCCCAGGUUGUGGGAGUAAUGUAGAUGUUUGCUAGAACCUGCCUGCUUUCCUGCCUUGGCCCUGUCAGACUGACUCCAAGCGGAACCCUUGGAUUUGGGACUGGACCUGGACCGCGUUGCUUGGGUUGCCCCCGGGCCCAGCACAGGCUGGUGAAGAAGCUCGGGUGUCUCCCCCUCGUGACCAGCUCACCUUCCCCCUGGUCUUUAUGCCUCUUUGGUUCUGGGAGACAAGGGAGAGGGGAGCUUGUCCGAGUAGGAGCUGAAGAUACCCAUGGCUCUUCACCAGCCUGACUUAUCUCUGCCUCUUGGCCUCUCUCCUCCCACUUUUCUGCUUCAGCUUCUUCCUCUGGUUCCCUCUGCCACAGACAACCCCCACCCCACGAAGCUCUGUUACCUUUUCAGCUACCUCCUCUUUCCAGUCAUUGUCAUUGUCAUCCCACCACCAAUGUCCAAGCUCUGAGCCCUCUUCCCUUGGUGGUUCUCCAGCUGCUUCAUCCCACCAUUCCUCUGUGUGCAACCAGCUCAUGACAGCCACUCUUUCACUUGUGGGCACCAACAAAAUAAUAAGAGUUUGGAUUUGAUAUCCCGCUUUAUCACUGCCCGAAGGAGUCUCAAAGCGGCUAACAUUCUCCUUUCCCUUCCUCCCCCACAACAAACACUCUGUGAGGUGAGUGAGGCUGAGAAACUUCAGAGAAGUGUGACUGGCCCAAGGUCACCCAGCAGCUGCAUGUGGAGGAGCGGAGACGCGAACCCGGUUCCCCAGAUUACAAGUCUACUGCUCUUAACCACUACACCACACUGGCUCUCAUUGCUAAUAAUCUCAUUGCUAAUAAUCUCAUUGCUGCUUGUUCUAAGGUUAUUGGAUAUGACAAAGCGCCACUAAUGCUACCUGCGAAUCGGGCUCCAACCGCCUUACUCAGCCAAAUCUCCCAAUGACGUUAAUGAGGGUUUUGGCUCGGGGUGGAGUGCUGCCAUCAGGCUCCCAUCAUCCAUUAAAAGCACUUAUGAGAGCUUGCAUUAGGCUCACCUCGGUGCGGAUCAACAUUCCAUUUAUUAGGAUGGAGGCAGGAGGCUCCCUCGACUUUGCCAAGUUCUGGCGGGGGAACGUUAGAUUCACUCACCUGUCGAAUGACAGAUCAUUAUAUCUGGCAAUGUGUGUGCAACUGGGAGCCAGCAAGAUAUUUAAUGGCAAAUGCAUGGAAUCUAACCAUGCCCCCCAAGUGCAAAAUUUUCUGGGACGCAUCCUGUCUAUUAUUAUUAUUAUUAUUAUUAUUAACUAUAAAUGAUGAUGAUGAUGAUGAUGAUUUAAAAAACCGACCUACAAGUCUUUGAAGAUAAGUGCUUCCAGAACAGUAUUGGCAUUUCCCCCUUGCUCUUAAGCCAACUUCCUUUCUCUUACUCGGGGGUCAACUUUCAAGACAGCAUUAAAGCAAGCGGCUAAUGGAAUUAAGGGUAUAAUAAUAGAAGAGUAUAGUGAGACAAUUGUAUUAACAAAAAAUAAAUCAUGUUGAGUGUAAGGUAAGUGUUUUUUAAUUGAUUGAUGGGAAGGAUGCUCUGCAGGGUUUUUCUCCCCGCCCCCCCUUUUGAGGACUAACAGACAGUUACCUCCCACCUACUGCAUAGUGGAAAAACCAAAAGAACAGAGGGGCGGGGUGGGGAGGAGGGAGAAAGUUAGAAUAUUAUGCACAGGGAAGAUAAAUUAUUCAGGGAAGAUGGCCCAUUUUGUGCUGAUAUCACUAAUGUGAAAACGCAUUAAAUCUUUGACACCAGCUUCAUUCCUGGGAGGCUGGAAUCACGGCGACAAGGUAUUAGAGAUUAUAAUGCGGCGCUGCCGGCUCCCACUUCCUUUGUGCGCCGUUAAAUGGCUUUCCAAGGUGAUUGGGUAAGUGGGGAUUCAGCAGAUAUUAUAAAUGCUGGAAAGGAAUAGUUUGCAGCUGGGGAGUCUCUCUGUAGGGCCAGCCCAAGACAUUCUGCUGCCUGAGGCGAAGGACAAGAUGGCGCCUCACCCACCCACAAUUCCAUGCAGAAAAUCUGUCCUGAAUCUUAAUUCUGUGGGAGAACGUCCUCCACGGAACCUGAGGGCAGCACGAUAGCUUGGGGCUCAGCAAACUUUUUCAGCAGGGGGCCGGUCCACUGUCCCUCAGACCUUGUGGGGGGCCAGACUAUAUUUUGAAAAUAAUAAUAAUAAUGAACGAAUUCCUAUGCCCCACAAAUAACCCAGAGAUGCAUUUUGAAAUAAAAGCACACAUUCUGCUCAUGUAAAAACACCCGGCAGGGGCCACAAAUAAUCCAGAGAUGCGUUUUAAAUAAAAGCACACAUUCUACUCAUGUACACACUGAUUCCCGGACCGUCCGCGGGCCAGAUUUAGAAGGCGACUGGCCGUAUCCAGCCCCCGGGCCUUAGUUUGCCUACCCAUGGGCUACAAGCUGGACCAUGUGGCACACUCAGCUUUGGCCCGCAUUGUUUGUUGCCUGAGACAGCUGAUUCACUCUGCCUCAUGGUAGGACUGGGUGUGGGUUUCUGGUUAACAUAGGGGUGGGGAACCUCAGGCCUGCAGGCCCAAUGUGUCCCUCCAGGCCUCUCUGCUAAGGCAUGAACUGAACCUUUGAGGCAGAUGUCAAUGCCUGGGCAGGUUCCUACAAUGCAGAACUGAAUGGUGCAAGCCAUAACAGAGCAUGGUGACCAGCAUUUUUGUAUUGCUAAGUUGGUUCCUGCAUUUUUGACCGUGUCACACAGCAUCAUUGGCUUUAAAAGAAUUUACUUUGGCCAUUAGCUGCAGGGGAUCCUGGAGAUCAAUGCCACUUCUUUCCAUUAAAGACAAUAACACUAGCUUAGCUCUUUGAUAACAUCCAUAGUUCCUCCCUGGGGACUACUCUCUCCUUACAUUGCCUGAAGACAUGGUAAAUUUAUAUAACCAUCUCUUGUCUAAUAUUCUUGAUUUGUCAUCUCUUGUUAGUACUUUCGCCAUUAACUCUAGGUGAAGAGAUCCAUAGAAGGAUGAUCUCAGACAUAUAAAGGCUGUAAGUAGAAAACUAGGGAUGCGGGCAGCACUGUGGUCUAAACCACUCAGCCUCUUGGGCUUGCCGAUCAGAAGGUUGGCGGUUCGAAUCCCCGCGACAGGGCGAGCUCCCGUUGCUCGGUCCCUGCUCCUGCCAACCUAGCAGUUCGAAAGCACGCCAAAAAGUACAAGUAGAUAAAUAGGUACUGCUCCGGCGGGAAGGUAAACAGCGUUUCUGUGCACUGCUCUGGUUCCGUUGUGCCAGAAAAGCUGUCUGCAGACAAACGCCGGCUCCCUUGGCCUGUAAAAUGAGAUGAGCACUGCAACCCCAGAGUCAUCUGCAACUGGACUUAACUGUCAGGGGUUUUUUUACCUUUACCUUUUAAAGUAGAAAACUAGGCCUAAUGAAUGCCAUAGAUUCCCAAAUUCCUGAUACUAUCUGAAACCUAGGAAAAUAGUAUUCUGAAUUUGAAUAACAUUCACAUCCAGUGGGCAUAUUUUUUUCACACCCAAGAAUUGGGUAAUAGCUAAUGGGUAGGUAUUUGUUUUACAGUGGUGCCUUGGUUCUGAAACGCCUUGCUUCUCAAAUGCUGAAAACCUGGAAUAAGUGUUCUGGUUUCCGAACCAUUUUCGGAAGCUGAACAUCCAAUGUGGUUGUCGGCUAUUGUUUCCGGGGCACCUGCACCAAUCAGAAGCUGCGCCUUGGUUUUCAAACAUUUCAGAAAUCAAACAGACGUCUGGAACAGAUUAAGUUUGGUGCUUUUGUUUCUGCUAUUUGUUUUGCAUUUUUGCUUUUGAGGCUUUUUCAGUCAAUUUGUUUUUGUGACUGUGUGGAACCCAGUUCAGCUACCGAUUGACUGAUUGUGUGACUGCGGAAAUGGAUAAAAGCCCCCCAUCCAAACAGUGACUCUCAUCACUGCAGGUAAGAAAAAAUAAUAAUUUUAAUUUUUAUCAUUUACAAUACUGUCUUAUUUAUUUUAUAGUACAGUACAUUGAUUAUUGCUUUCAUUUUAUGGAUCAGUUGGUCUCGUUAGAUAGUAAAAUCCAUGUUAAAUUGCUGUUUUAGGGGUUGUUUUUAAAAGUCUGGAAUGGAUUAAUCUGUUUUGCAUUACUUUCUAUGGGAAAGCGCACCUUGGUUUUGGAACGCUUUGGUUUUGGAAUGGACUUCCGGAAUGGAUUAAGUUUGAGAACCAAGGUACCACUGUUUUUAUUUCUUUUACUCACAAACCCACCUAUCACCCAUCUGUCAUGGAUGCUUUAGCUGAGAUUACUGCAUUUCAGGGGGUUGGACUAGAUGUCCCUUGGAGUCCCUUCCACUACAAUUCUAUGAUUCUAUGAUACUGCUUUAAAUGUAGAGUACAGAUGAAGCUUUAGUUUGGAUUGGCAUCAUUAUAGUAAUAAAAGGAGACAUUUAUUUACCUCACAAACAUCAAGCUAAACCGUAUUCCACAAGAUUUAGUUUAAAGUAAAUAUACUGAGGGUGGGAGAUUUAAGUAUCAUGCCGAUUUCCUAUUUUAGCAUCCCCUGUAUUAACAGGAGAAAGCAACUACUAAAGAAAGGUAAACCGAGUGAAGUCUGUGUUUACAGUUCUAAAUUGGUUUUUGCCACCAAGGAAAAGAAUUUUGCAGUCAAUGCGGACAGUUCACUGAAGAUGUCAGCUGAGUUCAGCGCAGUAGCAAGGCAAACAGCAUUAAGAACUAUUAAAGGGGAGAUGGAGAAAACCGUGGCAGAAUAUCAGUGUGACUAUAUAAAUCUAUUGUUUGUUCAUAUUUCACAUAAUGUGUAAAUGAUCUUAAAGAAAGAAAGAAAAGAAGAUCUGUCAGAGCUGAAUUGGGUGUAGGCUUGAAAUGAAGAAUUGUUGUUGAGACAAUUUUUGGAACUCUGUGUAUGAAAAUGCUUUUAAAAAUAAUUGAUGCAAUAUAUGUCUGCAUUGCUUGGGAACUAGGUCACCUGAUUUCAUUGGCAUCACACACCUUUUUACCCUGGCCUCCCUCCCUCUCUCUCUCUCUCUCUCUCUCUCUCACCACCAUAAUUCAUUUAAACAGUGUUUAAUGUUGUAUUUUAAAUUGCUGUGAUCCACUCUAGGACCUUAUGAUGUGUGGUGGGUAAUAAGAAUAAGAUGCUGCUGCUGAUUUAUUAAUUAAUCAAAUAACUUGCAGCAUCUUUUUAGACCGUGUGGCUUAAGCAAGCCAUCUUUGUGUUUCUUUACAAAUAAUUUCAAAGCUCUCAGCACUUUGGGAUCUAAAUCUUACUGCCUGUGUUUUCUUACUCCUGUAUGGAAAAGCACAUGAAUCCUUUGAAGAGUUUGUAAGUAAACCAUGUUUAACUUACUAGUCUCUUUCUGUGCUAAGGGAAGUAGUGAACUUUGGGGGGCAGAAAUUAGAAGAGGAUAUUUUAAAGAUUUAACAGAACAAAGCCCUGGAAUUCUGGGUUGAUCUAGGCAAGAAUCUGUUAGAUCAGGCUCCCUCAACCUCGGCCCUUCAGAUGUUUUGAGACUACAGUUCCCAUCAUCCUUGACCACUGGUCCUGCUAGCUAGGGAUGAUGGGAGUUGUAGGCCAAAAACAGCUGGAGGGCCAAGGUUGAGGAAGCCUGUGUUAGAUCCUGAGCCAGCCUCACUGAUGACAUGCAGCAAUUUGGCUGCCCCCCCCAUUUUCCAGCUGGUAUGCUUGGCAGUGGGCCCACCACUCUGCUAAACUCUGCUAGGGAGUGGUUAGGGCUAGGCGUUCGCCCUAAGUGGAGUGUGGCCAAGUGUGAAUCAGCACGAAAAACGGUGACGCGUUCUUAUGUGACAAGGAACCAGGGAGGACCAUCUCCUGGGUUGAAUGGACCCUGGGUGAAGUGCCCCCAAAGAGGCUGGCUGCAGGUACCAGCCCUGGAAUCAGGGAAGUAAAGAGGAUGGAUGGAAGACAAGCAGAUAUUUGAUUUAUGGCUUGGAAAACAAAUACGUAAAACCUGCCUUAUCGAUGUUUCUGUGAAUCUGUUACUAGAAAUACCUGGAAUAAAAAUGUCAUUGACUGGUGUGAUGGCCUGGGACUCAGACUCGGAACCGGAGGAGUCUUGGUCCGCACCGGAUCCUCUGCCUCAGGUGGCAUCUGAACUGAGUCUGGGGCCUGAUUCUGAAGAGCCCCAUUCUGCACAGGUUCCCCUGCAACAAGCACCAGCUGAGCCAAGUCAGGGGCCUGAGCCUGCCCUGGCUCCAGAUGCGGGGAUUACCUUGUUGCCCUCUGCUGGGCACUCACGUGCAGCUGCUCCACUACCAGUUGGGUCAGGAGAGGCUGAGGUGUCUUCUGGGUCUAGUAACCCACCGACAUCUCCCGAGCUGCAGAGACUCAGGCCUGAGAGAAGAAGAGACCUGAGUACUCGCAGGAGGAGUGCUCGCCAUUGGGCAAGACAGGGAGGUAAGUCAUCGGGGGAUCAGGACUGGCCGUUACUCAGUCAGAGAUAAAAGACUGCAGGACCCCACCCCAGGUUGCGGGAGCAACAUUGCUGCUUGCUGGAACCUGCCUAUUACCCUGUGCCUGACUUAGCCUGGUUUCCUGCCUUGGCCUUGUUGGACUGACUCCUCGUGGAAUCCUUGGAUUCAGGACCAGACCUGGACUGCGUUGCUUGAGUUAACCCCCGGGCCCAGCACAACUACAAUGUUUCCCCAGUUAAGGGAAGUAAUGAGAGCUUUUGCUCAUAAAGAAGAGAGUUGCUUAACAAUGAAUUUCUGAGAUGAUGAUAAUGAUAAUAAUAAUGAUGAUGAUGAUGAUAGUGGCAUCAGGAACAAUAAUAGCUUAAUGUGCCAUCCUCUUUUCACUGUUCUUAAAUCUCACAGUCUCACCUUUAUGGUACUGCUUGAUGUCUCCUUCUUGGUCAGGCUUCUUUGUUUUUCUUCUGGAUCCACCUGCUGCUGCCAUCCACUCUUCAUGGAGCUUUCCCUUUCAUUAGCUACUUAGCAGGAGCACAUUGUCCUUCAGCAAGAAAGCAGAGAGCAGUCCCGCCUAGAGGGAAGUGUUUGCCGCUGUGUUAAAUUGCUCCUUCCCUGCCCCUUUGAUUCCAUUAAAAUGUAAACUCUCCCCGCACCCCAAGAGUAUACAGUGGCCUGGAAGAUCAUCCAAAUGACCACAAACGCUGAUGACCUAACACACCACUUAACCCGAGCCAUUGCUUGCCUGUUACAUUGUCCUCCCGGCAUAUAACCUCCUUAGUGGUUCAGCACCAUGGGGACAACUGAAAUGCCCCAGCAGGGGGGAAAAUAUAGGACCCCAGGAGGGCAGACCAAUGAUUUGCUUCAGAGAAGUUUCCCUGCCGUGCUUCAAACAACAUUAAAUUUGUGGAGGAGUUUGCCUGCUGAAGAUGUUUGUCUCGAGCAGCGUCCCCCAAUCUGGUGCCCUCCAGAUAUAUCCCAGCACGGCCAAUGGUCAGGGAGGAUAGGAACACAGAAAGCUGCCUCGUCCAUUGGUCCAUCUAGCUCAGUCUUGUCUACACAAGUGAUCCAUGCGUCGGUCACCUCCAGGCUUCACUACUGUAAUUCACUCUACGCGGGGCUGCCCUUGAAGCUGUCCCAGAAACUCCAGUGGGUGCAGAAUGCUGCAGUGAGGCUCCUCACGGGGUCUCUGCCAUGGGAGCAUAUUCACCCAGUGCUUUUCCAGCUGCACUGGCUCCCGGUGGAGUACAGGGUCAGAUUUAAGGUGCUGGCUUUGACCUUUAAAGCCCUUCGCGGCCUAGGACCCUCGUACCUACGGGACCGCCUCUCCCAGUAUGCCCCAUGGAGAGCCUCAAGGUCCAUAAAUAGCAACACCCUAGUGGUCCCAGGCCCUAAGGAAGUUAGAUUAGCUUCAACCAGAGCCAGGGCCUUUUCAACUCUGGCUCCGGCCUGGUGGAACGCUCUGUCUCAUGAGACCAGGGCCCUACAGGAUCUGAUUUCUUUCCACAGGGCCUAUAAGACAGAGUUCUUCCAUCUGGUCUUUGGCUUGGAGCCAAUUUGAUUCCCUCCCCCUCUUUCUUUUUUCUUUUCCUUUCUCCUCCUGCAAUGAGGCUACAUUUUAAUAUUUCAAUGUUUCAAUGUUUUAAUGUUGUAUUUUAAUUUUGUUUUAAAGUUGUAUUCAUUCAACUUGUUUUUAUUAUUGCUUGUUAGCUGCCCUGAGCCCGGCCUUGGCUGGGGAGGGCGGGGUAUAAAUAAAAAUUAUUAUUAUUAUUAUUAUUAUUACUAUUAUUAUUAUUAUUAUUAUUAUUACACUGGCUGGCAAUACAGUGGCUCUCAAGGGUAUCAGACAGAGGACAUUCCAAGCCCUAUCUGGAAAGGCCAGGGCCAGGAAUUAAAUCUGGGAUCUUCUGUAUUCAAAGCAGAUGGUCUGCCACUGAGCUACAGUCCUUUUAUGAUGGAGUUGUGGUUGGAAACGUCUUGAGGGCACCAGCUUUAGCAAGGCUCUUCUAGAGUGGUCAUAGAAUUAUGGAGUUGGAAGGAACCUCUGCAGUGCAAGAACCUCAGCUACAGCAUCCAUGGCAAAUGGCCAUCCAACCUCUGCUAAAAAACCUCCAAGGAUGGAGAGUCCACAAGUCCAUUCCUCCAUCAAACAGCUCUCACUGUCAGAAAGUUCUUCCUGAUGUUUAGCUGGAAUCUCCUUUCUUGAAGCCAUUAAUUUGAGUCAUACCCUACAGAGCAGGAGGAAACAAGCUUGUUCCUUCUUCCAUGUGACAGCCCUUGAGAUAUUUGAAGAUGGCUAUCAUAUCUCCUCUCUGUCUACUCUUUUCCAGGCUAAACAUACCCGGCUCCUUCAAACAUUAUUCAUACUUUCCAGACCUUUGAUCAUCUUGGGUACCCUCCUCUGCACACGUUCCAGUUUGUCAUCGCCUGUCAUAAAUUGUGUUGUCCAGAACUGGACACAGUAUUCCAGGUGCGACUGGCUAAACUUAGUCGAUGAGCAGUGGCUGCAAGCUUUGUGCCCUCAUGACGAGGUUCAAGGUUCUUGCAUUCAUUUACUCCUUGGGUUCAGGAUACCUCCUGGACCACCUAAUUCCUUAUAUCCCUGCCUGACCACAGAGGUCUUUGGAGAAGUAACUUUUGUGAUCCCUCACAGCUUAAAUGCACAGCUUCUUUUCACCCCAAGCCAUGCACUCAGUAUUGUGGGCCUCAUUUGAUGGAGGCCAGUGUGGGCCUGCCACCUAUGGGCCUCUUUUACACACACCUCCUAGCGAGGAGAGAGGAUCUUUUGCUGGAGAUAAACCAGGCACUGUCCUUGAAGGUGCUUGGAUAGUGUGCUGCUAACUCUAUUUCAAGGCCCUGCUGCUAAAAAACAAAACAAAAACAAAUUAGGGAUUUCCUAUGCUUACCAUUUAUAGUGCCCUAGUUUCUGUUUGGAGAGGACGCGGGUGGCGCUGUGGGUUAAACCACAGAGCCUAGGGCUUGCCGAUCAGAAGGUCAGCGGUUCGAAUCCCCGUGACGGAGUGAGCUCCCGUUGCUCGGUCUCUGCUCCUGCCAACCUAGCAGUUUGAAAGCAUGUCAAAGUGCAAGUAGAUAAAUAGGUACCGCUCCGGCGGGAAGGUAAAUGGCGUUUCCGUGCGCUGCUCUGGUUUGCCAGAAGUGGCUUACUCAUGCUGGCCACAUGACCCAGAAGCUGUACGCCAGCUCCCUCGGCCAAUAAAGUGAGAUGAACGCCACAACCCCAGAGUCGGUCACGACUGGACCUAAUGGUCAGGGUUCCCUUUACCUUUAGUUUCUGUUUGAGCCGGUGUUUUUAAGAGCAAAUUUGUAGCUUUCUGCACCUUUGCUCACAUGUUGCUAAUUCUUAGAGUGUGAUUGUGGGGUUUUUCCUCUCCAUGCUAAUGGUGGGCUGUGCCCAAAUUGAGAAAAGUUCCAUGGCUGAGGUCACAGCACUAAAAGACCUUCACAUUCCCCCAGCCAGUAAAUGUCAGAGUUCUGUGCGUGAGAAUGGGGAAAGCCCUUCCAGAGUUUUCAAAAUAUAUGUAUUUAAUGCCUAGUAUUCCGGAAUACUAAUCUUGUGAGAAUAUAGGAAAUUAGAAGGGGAACCGUGUGUCUUCCUGAGCUAUGGCCGACCUCAACAACCUCGUUCUUCUCAUAAAAUUUUAUAUGCAGCUAAUGAUUGCUGUCAUGGGCAGGGCUUUGACUCAGUUCCAUAGUCUCUGUCUGCCAUAUCUCUCCUCUGAACUGAGCUUGUGAACUGACGGUAUGUGCCGGUCAGAAGGUGGUGGUGCACAUGGUUCACAAACCAUGCCCAGCAACAUGGACCCCCCUCUAUCUGGGAAGAGGUAGGAUGCUGGUACACAUGCUGGAAAACAUUGAAGAUCCAUUCUGGAUCAAUUACAAAAGUUGGAUUUUUUUUGUGGUAUAAGGAAAGCAAGUUAUUUGAGUACAAUGGACACUCGGGUUGCGAACAUGAUCUGUGCAGGACGCACGUUUAAAACCUGCAGUGUCCGCAACCCGUGUCUGCACGUCUGCGCACGUGCAGGUUGCGAUUCGGUGCUUCUGCACAUGCACAAAGCUUGAUUUAGCGCUUCUGCGCAUGCGUGACUGCCGAAACCCGGAAGUAACCCGUUCCGGUACUUCCGGGUUUCGGCGGUCCGUAACCUGAAAAAACGCAACCUGAAGCUUCUGUAACCCGAGGUAUGACUGUACAUUAUUUUGGAAUACUAGCCAAAUGAUUUACCUACGAGAUGGCCUUACUUGCAUGUACAAUCACUCAACCACUUAGGCUGGCAGAAGUGGCAGUGAUACAGGUGCCCCAUAAUAAUCAUAAGACUUUGGGACUCCUUGCCUAUUAAUAUCGGGCACUGUACUCUUUUCAGCACCUGCUGAAUUUUGUUUGUUUGUAUGUUUAGACAAGCCUACCCAGAAGUUGAUGCGAGAUUUAAUCUGUUUUUAAUCUAUUGCUACUUGAACUUUUCUAAAGUCUCAGAUAACAGGCAUCUCCCCACUUGCAUGAGACCGACUUGUGCAUGGCCGCGUAUAUGUGUGGCACCAGGAAAUAGAUAAAGAAUUUAAUGGCGGGAGAGAGCUGGAGAGUCCUUGUGGCUCGUGAGGAGACCCUCCUUGGAGCCCGAAGAGGACAUCAGUGAGGGCAGAGGGAGCCUCCAAAGGACUGGAGGAACAGUGGAGCUUUAUUGACACUGCUCAGCCUCCCCGCCUAACAGCUGAGGCUCGUGGUAGCGCAGCCACAUUACCACACAUCCGGCAGCCUCCUGCCAGCCCCAGAGCUUCAAUUCUAGUUGUGAAUAUUUUUGGACACAGUAUUUUUGGUAUGGAUAGGAGAGAGAGUGGCAGAGUGGGCAUUUAAAGGGUGCUUAGAGGGAGCUCCCCACUUUUACACGCUUUUUGUUUAUGUGCAUGGGGUCCCCGAAUGUAACUCCCAUUUAAUUGGUGUGUGUGUGUGUACUGUUGUUAAUUUUUCCUGUGGAUUAUUAUUAUUAUUAUUAUUAUUAUUAUUAUUAUUAUUAAUAUUUAGGUAAACUGCUCUGAGGUUUCUUGUUUCGAUUUUACAAUCAAGCGGUGCAUUGGUUUUAGGACACAAAAUAAAUAACAUAAACAAAUAAACAAGAAAAAUGAUGCUCAAAUUGUUGGCAACUUGCCAAAAAAUCUCACCCCAACCCACCCACUGGCAACUAUUCCAGUAUAAAAGUUAAGUGCAGAACGGCUCUUAAACCGGACUAGGGCAGGUCUUCAAACAGAGUCCUUUGUCCUCUGCAAAACAGGACGCAUGACCUUGCCUCCUGCUAUCUUCCAUAAGUACAAACAACAGUAUUCCAGUAAUAGCAAUAGAAUAAAUGUCGUCUCAGCCUUAGGUAUGGUGAAAUAACUGUAUUUCUUUUCUAUUCGGUUGGGGGAAAACAUACAAGCAUGAGGUUGAAAAUCUGCAUAGUUAUGAAUAAGGGAUCAAUUAUGAAGAUAAAAGCCUGCCUCUAUUGAUCAGGGGGCGCUCUACGCAAUUAAAAUAAUAACACUGAUUAAUAUUGCAACAUUAAAAAGUCAGUACUUGCCGAAGGUGAUCAAGUAUGCCGCGGGCACAAACGCUGACUUGGUGCCAUGCCGGCCCGAAGCGUGAAUUUUCUGUCCUCGGCCGAGCGUUAAGUGAUAACGCUUCUGCAAAUGAUGGAUUGCUACUAAAGGGUUUCAUGAGAAGGCAUGAUACUCGAAAAGAGAUUUGGGAAUAGAAAGGUGGGUACUUUCACUGAAAUACAAAAGAUGUCUUCGAUACAAAUCAACAGAGACGAAAGAGCAGGGGCAAAGUUCUUGAUCUACGUCUAGUCACAGUCGGGUUAAUCACAUGUAAAAACUGCCGAUUCCUACGAAUGGAAAUGCAUGUCUCUAUAAGAAAUCUGUGAUGGCCUGGGAUUCGGACUCGGAGGCUGAACCUGAGGAAUCCCAGCCUGCACAGGAUUCCCCGCCUCCAGAACCAGCUGAGCCGGGGCUGGGGCUUGAGCCUGAAGGGUCCUCACCUGUGCUGGAUCCUCAGGUGCAGGCACCAGCUGAGUCUGCUCUGACUCCUGAGGUGAUGGAGGACCCAUUGCCUGCAGGUGCUCCACUCUCAGCCCCAUCAGGGGAAGCUGAGGUUUCCUCUGGGUCCGGUAACCCUCCAGCCUCUCCUGAACUGCAGAGGCUCAGGGCAGAGAGGUGGAGGGAACUAAGUUCCCGCAGGAGGAGUGCUCGCCUCCAGGCCAGGAGAGGCAAGUCACCUGUGGACCGGAGCCGCCCUAUGCCUCGGGGCAGAUAAAAGCCAGCCAGCCCCAGUCCCAAGUUGCGGGAGCAAUGUUGUUGGUAGCCUGUUCCUGCCUGCACCCUGUCCUGCCGGAGCUCCCGACCUCACCCGACUCCCUGCCUUGGACCCUGCUUCAGCUUUGAUGGACUGCCUCCAUACUGCAGCCUCGACCUCGGACUGGACUCGAAUCUCACCUCACCAUUAACCCACAGGACCAGCACAAAAUCAAAAGUGUGAUGGGUCUCCGAAGAGCUUUAGGCAACAGGUAGGGAUAUUCACUGUGAUGUCAGACAGUGGUACCAUUUCAUUGACCCAAGCAAAAGAUGACUUUGCUCUCACUGUGGUAUAGCCAUCAUGGGUGACAUGUGAGACUUGGAUCAGGGAGAUAUGGGUUCAGUUCCCCCAUCUAGUGCAAAGCACAGCAGGUGGUCUUGGAUCGGUUGCUGUCUCUCAGCCUAAGUGACCUCUCAGAGUUGCCGUGAGGAUAAAAUGGGACAAUCCCAUGUGACUUGCUCUGAGCAACCUGGAAGAAAGGUAGAACGCAAACAUAACAAAUAACCACUUGUUGUUUCAUAUUUGCAGCACCCCAGUUCUGAGUAACCUAGUGCAGAUCUAUCACUGCUGAUAUCUGGUUCAAAAAUGUUGGUAACUUACAUGCUUGUCCAAUCACUGUACAUUUUCAUAUUCAGUUUUUUAACACCUCUCUGUGUUCUUCUGCUAUUUCACACCAAUCUAUAUUCAUUCUUGUGAGCAGAAUGAAUAUGCACAAGACUACAGUCUUGGAAGUUGAAUGGAAUCAGUUCCGGAAUUCUGUUCGACUUCCAAAAUGUUCAAAAACCAAAGCGCGGUUUCUGACUGGUGGCAGGAAGCUCCUGCCGCCAAUCAGAAGCCAUGGAAGCCCUGUCGGAAGUUUGGCUUCCAAAAAUAGUUUGCAAACCGGAACACUCACUUCUGGGUUUGCAGCGUUCAGGAACCAAAACAUUCGAGAACUAAGCUGUUCGAAAAGUAAGACUGUACCUGUUUGGGCAGCCUUAAGACUACAAAACCCAUAUUGCAGUGCAAGUAAGAAAGUACAGAGUUGACUCCAGAUUUUGCAGGGCCCCAAGGCAAUAUGCCCCUUGUGAGGCUCACCUUCUUGCUACUCUACUGUGGACACAGCCCAUUCAUUGUCCUCUCCUGCACCACUUCUGUGCCCAACCUGCACGACUGCCCUGAAUGAGGAACCAUGGUAAGAGUUUGCUGCUUUUCCUUAACUGAUGCUCAUGCAUUUGAAGAAGGCAGCUGAACUAGGUGCAAUAGACAGGGCCAGAGGGAUCUGGGGACAAGCAGUGCAUCCUCUGCUGGACUUCGGCAGGUACCCUAGCAUACUGAUUCCUGACCCUGAUAAAGAAGCAUGCAUAUCUACAAACGCAUCCAAGGUAUUUAAUGAAGCAAGCAAUUUACAAUAUUAAAGGAACAGAACAAAAGCACACCCUCCCCGCAAGGGCACAUGUAGAUAUUCCACAGAAAACCAGUUGGCUGGGACUCAGAAAAGAGAACUAGAAAUGGGAUUUCAUCUGCAGAUUUUAAUGCACUACUAAUAAUGUGCUCCCAGGCUAAGUUCAAGGUUUUGGUACUAACAUAUAAGAGCCUUGGGACUGGGUUAGCUGAGAAACUGCCUUACCUUUCCACGCCCAGUAGAUCACUUAGUUUUACAGAAGAGUCUCUCCUUGCGGCUCCUAAAAUAUCAGAUGCAAAUCCGAUCAGGGCUUUCAAGCUGCUGCCCUUGUUUUCGUUGGAAUAACAUCUCUGUUGAGAUAUGACAGGCAACUGUUAUUUCAAGAUGUUCUUGUUCCAACAUUUCUUUUUAAUUCUCUGCCUUGGAUAUUUAUGUAUGUUUUCUUCUUCUUCUUCUUCUUCUUCCUUUUUUUAAAAGCACACUAUGAUUUUAAUGGUAGUAUUGUAAGGUUGCAAAGCACAUUGAAAUUUAUACGAAAGGAGAUAGGUAGGUAAAUAGAUAGACAGAUAAAAUAAAGAAUAUGGAUCAGUUUAUAUUCUGCAGUAUCAGCACUGAGCUUGGGUUUUUUUUUGUAAUUAUCUGUAUGUUUUUAAUGAUUCUUUCAUAUUUAAAUAUAGCUUUAAUUAUAUCACCAUUUAAUUGUUUUCUAAUGAUUGUUCCUCCCCCCCCCCCCAUGUUUUUAGCUGUUCCUGUUUUAUCAACAAGCACCUUGAGUCCCUGUCAGGGAAAAAGGUAACAACAGCAGCAGCAGCAGCAACAACAACAACAACAACAACAACAACAACAACAACAACAACUGUUAUAAUGCCUCUUGCUUGCCUGGAAGGAGGAUUUAAAGCCAUGUGCAGUGCCUACCCCUAAACAUUUUGUGAAUCUAACUGGAGAAGAAACUAAAAAUAUUAAUUUUUUUAGUUUCUUCUCUAGCACAGUGACUCGUCAGUUCUGUUUCUACCCCCGAUGGUGACUUCAUUUCCUGUCAUGGUGUUUCCUGAGUCUCAGAUGGAAGUCAGUGUUUAAUGUGUGAAGCAGUGUGGAAUGUGGAUGUGUGGUGUUUUACUGACAAAUGUUUGGCCUCAUUGGGGGGCAUUAUUUCAAUAUGAGUAAUGCAUGUUCUUUGUACAGUGGACGCUCGGGUUGCGAACGUGAUCCGUGCAGGAGGCACGUUCGCAACCCGCAGCGUUCGCAACCCGCAGCACUGCGUCCGUCAUGUGCGGGUUGCGAUUCAGUGCUUCUGCACAUGCGUAAAGUGCAAUUAGUGGUUCUACGAAUGCGCAAGUGGCGAAACCCGGAAGUAACCUGUUCCGGUACUUCCGGGUUCGGCGCGGUGCGCAACCCGAAAACGCACAACCCAAAGCGUCUGUAACCCAAGGUAUGACUGUACUUUUGUCCAUUUACUGUAUUUAUUUUCCCUGAUUUGAACUAUAAAAUGGCAGUUUUCUUGAGUCAGAAUGAGAGUACCCCUAAACAUUUUUUAAGAAAAGCACCAGCAGUGUGUGCAUGUGUAUAUGUGUGUGAAUGAGUGCAGAAACCCCUGACCUUUGUGGGUCUUGAAUGUAGCAUGUUGUACAAAAGAGUCAGACCUAUUUCUCUGCACACUGUUGCUUCUGGCCCCACGCGUGAGGAAAUGUGGCUGGAAAGGGUUGCUCACCGCUGUGCUAGAUCUUACUCACAGGUUAUCAGCAGUGGAGUAUCUCAAGAAACCUUCAACCGUGCCUUCUUCCAUUUGCAGUGGUACCUCUGGUUGCGAAUGGGAUUUGUUGCGGAGCCCCAUUCUCAACAUGAGCAGAACGCAACCCACAUCUGCACAUGUACAUGACGUCAUUUUGAGUGUCUGCGCAUGCGCGAGUGGUGAAACCCGGAAGUAACCCUUUCCAGUACUUCCAGAUCGCUGCGGGACACAACCUGAAAAGAUUUAACCCGAAGCAUCUUUAACCUGAGGUAUGACUGCACUUCUAAUGCAAAUAGUGAACUUCCAGAGAUGUUGCUGGACUCCAACUCCCAUCAGCCCCAGGCAUCAUGAUCAAUGGUCAGGGGUGAUGGGAGCUGUAGUCCGGCCACAUCGGGAGGGCGCCAUGUUGUUGACUACCCCUGCUGCACUAGUCAGCUAGAAGAGAGAGAUGGGCUAUCCAACUAGACAAGCCAGCAAAGGAGACAUGAAUAUUAACAAAGGUUUGUCUGAGGCCAUCUCUGGGAUCUCUGAGACUGAUUUGCUCCACUUUGUUCUCCUCCGCACGGAUUAUGUGCCCUAAGUGCCAAUCUGUGCCUCCCCUUGCCUGCGGCGUCGCACACUCCUGCCACGAUAAGCAUCGCCCGCCGCUAUUAUAGCAGCACAAACAAGUGACAAAUCUCGGGAGCGCGAGGAAGUAACGAGGGGCUGAUCAGUAGUUUUAGUUAUCUUUCCCUUCGUGUUUAUUGCAGUCUGCCAUAGUUAUUUCAAAGGCGCCGACAUUGAUCGACAGCUUCUAUUAAGGCCUGCGCGAGGCAGCUGGAUUGAACAGAUACAUUAAAUAAAGCCGUUAUUGCUUUUCAUUGCCCUUCCGUAAAAUAUCACUGCUAAAUAGCUUCUGCCAUCAGAUCCAGUUAGGUACAUGGUUUUAAUUUGAGGGACUGCUUUCUAACAUUGCACAAUUGACACGGGCCUUUGUUUCCCUUGCAAUAAUGAUUGUGUACAACCUCGAGAAUUGAUGGGCUGUCUUUGGGGGCUAGAAGGGACUGGGGCGGCAGCGUUGGGGGGGGCACAAUGGCUUUAUUGUCUUUUCUCUCUCUCUCACCCUCCUUUUUUUUAAACUUACACUUGCUAUGCUUGUCAGAGGUUUGCAGCAGAAGCUGGAAUAAUGUCAGGGCAGGCUCCUUAUCUCAGGAUGUUGUAAUGUAGCAAGCUGCAGGCUCUUGCCUGGGAGCAAGAUAAGAGGAACCUUACAAGGAUUGGGGAGGGGAGUAAUGAGGCUUAACCCCCCCAGCCUGGUUAGUGGUAUUAUUGAGAUAACAAUGGCAGAGCUGUCAGUCGCUCGCUACAGCUCUUUCUGGCGCUAGCCAGGGAAAUAUAUGUGUGCUGAGCACGAAAAUAAAAGUCUCAAAUGUUCAUCUAAUAAUGAUGUAUUUGUAACAGGAUUUGCUGCCCGACGAUAUUCUUUCUUUAUCUGCGAGCUAAAUGGCCGGGCAGCUGUGUGCUUUGGCACAGUGCAAUGUCCUUCCUUUUGUGCACUGCAUAUUAAUCCUUUAUUGAAGUAAUUAAAUGUGUGCUUAAUGGCAAUGAGCUGGCAGAACGAGUGCACAAUUGAAUUAGCGGUUAUGAUUGGGAGCACGAUACAAGAUGAACUAAAUGCAAUUACUGUAGGCAUUUCUCCAUCUCGUCCCCCCCCCCCCACCUCAACCCUCCAAGUUGAAUCGGGCUACAUGACAUGACUUAAUUACAGGUUGUUAGAUACACUUACUCCCUGAUCUUUCAGGGAUGGGAUCUGGGUGGAUGUUACAGUUUCUGGAGAAUGUGAGUGAUGUGUGCUUCAGUGCCAUGCGUGCUGAUCCAUUUAACCUAGCAUGAAGGUCAACCUGAUUUUUGUAACAACGUAAAUGCAAAAGACCCAGUUUCCCCCCAGAUCGGAUGGCUUUGCUUGACCAACUUCUAAAUAAGAAAGGGAGGGGUGGAAAGACAGUGUUUUGAAAUCCUUUUAUAUUAUCCUGUGUGCCAUGUAGCCUUGUUUUCGUUGGUUAUGUUUCAGGUCUUGGCCAAGACCCCAAACCCUGAUGCGCAUGAAGCUAUGAACAAGAGCUUAGUUGCAUCAGUGCCGUUGAAUAAUAAUAAUAAUAAUAAUAAUAAUAAUAAUAAUUUAUUUAUACCCUGCCCAUUUGGCUGGGUUUCCCCAGCCACUCUGGGCAGCUUCCAACAAAACACUAAAAUACUAUUAAACAUUAAAAGCUUCCCUAAACAGGGCUGCCUUCAGAUGUCUUCUAAGAGUUUGGUAGUUAUUUUUCUCUUUGACAUCUGGUGGGAAGGCGUUCCACAGGGUUCCACUACCAAGAAGGCCCUCUGCCUGGUUCCCUGUAACUUGUCUUCUUGCAGCGAGGGAACCUCCAGAAGGCCCUCGGCGCUGGACCUCAGUGUCCGGGCAGAACGAUGGAGGUGGAGACGCUCCUUCAGGUAUACUGGACCGAAUGUUCUAUGCAUGCCCCUAAGUCUACAUGCAUGCAGAGUGAAUGAGAUAAUCCAUGCUGGCAGGGCUUUUUUUCAGCUGGAACUCACCAGAACUCAGUUCUGGCACCUCUCACGUGAGUGCCAUUGCCAUUCUUAGAGACAAGGUGAGUUCAUGGUGAGUUCCGGCACCACUUUUCCUAGAGAAAUAGCACUGCAUGCUGGUAAACAGAGAAAUCAGAUGUGUGCAUCUGAUUUCUGCUAAUAUCUGAAUGAGGUCUGAAGGUACCAGCUGUUGUUCCAUUUUUGAAACCAAUGAGGUUUAAGUAUAGCCAAUGGGAGGAUGGGAGGCAAUCUGGAAAUCUCAUGCACACCAUGCAGCAGAAGUUUGGGGGAGAAGUUCUAAGAAUGUGGAAAGACAGCUUUGUCUCUCUUUCUCCCAGAAAAUGAACUGCGCUGUGAUCUUUGAAUGAAGGAUGGUGUACACAAGUAAAUAAAUAAGGUUCUCAUCACCUAUUUACUAUCUUGCAAAUGCCAUCUCCUCCACCCCCAAUCUUGAAUGAGACAUCCUGUUUCUUCUGGAAAGCAUUACAGAAAAAACCCCGAAUGCUCCAGGAGAAUUGUAUUGGCAAACCUUCUCAAUUAGGGAAGAAGAGUGACCUAAAACUAGCAAUGGGCAGAUUUAUUUAGUUUUGUUCCAUGCCAAUUUUAAACAUGUUCCUUCACAAGUCCAUUCCUUCUCAUUUCCACAUUAAUCUGUGAUUUUAUUUUUAGAAAAAUCUGCAUGAAAUUCGUAUUUCAAAAAACCCAGUGUAUGUAUUUCUAAAUAUAUCGAUUCUCAAAUAUGCAUUAAAAAUAUAGUUUGGUACUUGUUUGCAUCUAGAAUUAUAUUGCAAAAUUCAGAGUAGUCAAAAAUCUGAAGGAGAAUUAUGUCCUGACCUGGGUAUUGAUCUCUGAGGGCCAAAUUUUAAUGAACCACAGAAGGCAGGGAAGGGAAGUUGUGGAUAACGAGAUGAUUUAAAUAAUUAUGUAUUUGUUGUAAAAUUGAAAACUAUAAAUGAAAUCGUUUCCCAAAACUAAACAAAGAACAAAAUGUGUUGGACAGGCUGUUUCUGCACAGAUGUGACGUAAGCCUAAUGCUCAUUCCUUGCCAAAUGCCCAACCUACCUGGGUGGGUAACAGUCAGCAAAGAGACCCAACCAUUUUUCGCAACCGAUUGCACCCAUCUUGACUGUGCGGCUCAAAAACACGACUAUUAAAAUAAUCAAUGCCCCUUACUAUAGGUUUAAGUUUUGCAGAGCUUUUUUUAGGGGGUGGGCAAGUGGUGGGCGAGGGGAGGCAUAGGUGGAAGACGAUUUUAUAGCUUUCCUUCUCUUUGCCGGGGCCAUAAAUGAAACCCUUUCAGCCCUAAUGACCACAAUGACUUUCCUCGAUCAUCUUAUUGCUGCUUUGGCACAUUUAUCGCUUUCACAUGCACUAAUGGAUGAGUUUGGAUAUGUUAACAAUUUAUAUAUCAUUUUGAUCCUACAAAGAAGCCCUCCUCUUCCUCCUCCAGCCCUCCCCCCUCCCUGCACAACCAAACUAACUUAGCGCUCAGGAUUGAGUAGCUUUUAAGGAGUAUAAAUGAAUUUAAUGCUUUAGAAAGAGCCUCUGUAAAUUAUGAACAUGACACCUAUUACAUUAAGCUGCAUUAAGCAUUAAUACAUCUUCAUUACUGGCAAGGUGCCCAAAAACCCAAGGUUGAAAAAGAAGCUCACUGUGCCCAGUGUGGCAGUGACCUAGGCUAAAAUUGAUAGUCCGUUCUGAAUGUCGGGGAGAAAACAUAGGCACACAUCUUUCUAUAAGCUCCCAUAGAGAUUAUCCUUGCUGGCACCUGUUGCUCCCUACAGAUCUCCUUAAAGGUAAAGGUAAAGGGACCCCUGACCAUUAGGUCCAGUCAUGACUGACUCUGGGGUUGCACGCUCAUCUCGCUCUAUAGGCCAAGGGAGUCAGCGUUUGUCCACAGACAGCUUCCGGGUCAUGUGGCCAGCAUGACUAAGCCACUUCUGGUGAACCAGAACAGCGCACGGAAACGCUGUUUACCUUCCUGCUGAAGCGGUAGCUAUUUAUCUACUUGCACUUUGACGUGCUUUCGAACUGCUAGGUUGGCAGGAGCAGGGACUGAGCAACGGGAGCUCACCCUGUCACGGGGAUUCGAACCGCCGGCCUUCUGAUCGGCAAGUCCUAGGCUCUGUUGUUUAACCCACAGCGCCAUCUCCUUACUGCCCCUUUAAACUGCUGUAUCAGGACUCCUAGGAAAUAAUAAUAUGAAAACUGUCGGCAUGUGUUGCAAAGAAAGAAGCCCACCAGGUUAACCAUUUAAAUACCAUUGAGAUUGGGUCACUAUGCAAAUACUGAAAAUACCCUAUUUUAAAUAAUAAUCCCGACUCCCCCUAUUCAUACGUAAGAUGAAUUCCUUGAUUUGGAAUCACCAGGGGUUGAAAUUGUUGGUAGGGUAUUUCUGACGGUGGGGGAAGAAAAAAGUAUCAAGGGUGGGGGAAAUGGUGCCAGAUUAAUGAUGGGCUACCUUGUACUGUCAGAGAACAAGAGAUAAAACUGAUUUUAGUGUCUUAAAAAGCAAUAUCCAUUAGACUCACAUUUGGCUACAGCUGGAGUGGAAAAGCCUUUAUUUCCACAAGAUGUAGAGGUUUGGCUGGGAGAAAAAAACAAGCUAACCGCUUGUGACAUAUUGUAAUUGAUUUUAUGUUGUACAUUUAUAAGACUGGCAAUUCAUGUUCCAUAUGGGAUUCAGCGCCGAGGUGUCACGGCGACUUCAAAGGCUUUAUUAUAUUACAAUUCUCAGAGGCUUCCAGGAGACUCUUCCGCAAUAUCCUAAGUUGGAAUCUUCACCGAAAUUGUCCAGCAGACGCACUUUCACAAAGCUAUCUUUUUUUCCAGCUGGGGAAAUGUGUCUUUUCGGCUGACUUCGAAAUGUUUAUAGGAGAUCCUAAAACAGUAUUUUAGUACACAGGCAUUGGUUUCUCUGCAGAUAAUAAGAUGCUGUAACUGUGAGGUCCGACGCUGUGGGGUAAUCCAGGGAGUCUUUCUGAGAGUCUUAUUAGGAACCUUCAGCAUGAAGUCAAAAAAGCAGCACAGCAGCUGUCUUAAAUAAGAACCAACAAGGAUUUGCUGAACCAACAAACUGAACUGGAAUACAAAAAAGGGAGGUAUGAGGAGGUCCGGGAAACAAGCUAAGGAAAAAUAAGCAAUGGAAAAAUUGAGUGGUUUUUAAUCAUUUUUAUUUUGUAUUUUUUUUCUUUUUCAUUUGUUAUUGUAAUAUUUUAAAAAAUCUUAAUAAAUAUCUUAUAAAAAUAAAUAAAUAAAUAAGAACCAACGAGGAUUCCAGCGGGAUCAAAUGAAGGCCUUUUGAGUCCAGCACUGACCCUCCCACAGUGGCCAAUGAGUUGUUUGUUGGGAAACUCAACAGCAGGGCUGUAAUUGCUCGCUGCUGUUUGUGAUCCCCUGCAAUUGUUAUUCAAGUAAGUUUUACUCCAAGUUAGACCCAUUGAAAUUAACGGACUCCACUUAAUUAUGUUCAUUGAUUUCUCUUAUCUUUACUCCUCCGAGUCAAACAGAGUUGAAUACCACCUUCGGCAACUGAAGAUAGCAUAGACUUACCAUAUCCAGUAGCUACUGAUAGCUUAUCCUCCAUGAUAUAGAACCCCAGUGCAACUGGCAUAUGUAGUUAAAGGAUUGAGUCCUAAGUGUUGGCACUGUGGUCGAGAGUUAGGGGUAUAUGCACAUAUGUGGUGGGAGUGCAUUUGUGUAAAGGAAUAUUGGCGAAAGAUUAUAAAGGUUAUUUCAGGUUAAGAUAGAAGUCAAUAGAGAAAUGCUUAUCUCAGAAAUAUUGGGGAAUAGUAAAAUAGAAAGAAAAGAGCAAGAUUGGUAUAAAAUUAUGAUCUUAGCUGGUAUGCUUGCAUCAGGAUGGAAAGAAAAGGAUAAAUGGACAAUGGAAAAAUGGAAUGACUAUGUUUUUGAAUAUAUACCAUCUGAUAUAUUUGAACAGGUAAGGAUGGAAGAUACAUGGGAAAACAAAUGUCAAAAGAUUUUGAAUAAAUGGACAAGUUAUAGGAAUUGGAUAGCACGGGGGGAAGCCAACCCAAGCGUCCAAAUUAGAAUGAAUAAUCUGUGCACAUGGUUAAAGAUCUGAAGAGAGAACAAGUUUUGGGGGGAGGGAGGAAGGGGAAAAAAAUUAGGAUAAAUAAGUAGGGACAAAAGUAUAUACUGUUAUGUAUAACUAAUAGGAGGAUGGUUUUGAUGCAUGUUAUUGUUAGAUUUUCGACUGAAUGAUUUUCUUUUUGUAAGUUAUUCGACAUCCCUGGAUGAAAGUGUGAUCAUAAAGAAUGGGAAAAUAAAUAAAUAAAUAAAUAAAUAAAUAAAUAAAUAAUAAACAGGUCAACCUGUUAAAAAUGUCAAUGUUAAAAAAAAUAACCAACCUACAUGAAAUGCAUCUAACCCUCUUUUACAGCUGUCUGAUUAGCCAUCACUGCAUCUUGUGGCAUUGAUUUCUCAAGUUUACCUAGGUGCUGUGAGGAAAAAAGACUUCCUUUGCCCAGGGGUGCCCAGAGGUGCGUUGCAAGGGGUUGGACUAGAUGACCCUUGGGUACCUUCCAGCUCUACGAUUCUAUGAUUCUAAGUUGCCCCCAAGACUCAGGGGGCUUGGGGUGCAGCACAUGUGCACGAUGUCACACACACACACACACACACACACACACACACACACUGCGAUACACGUGUGCAUGACCACUGAAACUGUUCCAUGCUUGGCUCCGCACUCAGUUUCCUCCGCCCCCUCAACAUUGAGGGGGCCUGGCCCCCUCCCAACAAACAUUGAGGGGCUUUGGCCCCCUGGAAUUGGCAUGCCUGAUUUUGCCUGUCCUGAAACUCCUUCUGACCCCCUUCAUUGGUUUCUAGUGCUUUGAGAGAUGGGUACUGUAUCCACACAGCAGUUUCUUCAAUUUUCUCAGUGUUGAUUUCAGCAUCGUAUAAUAAUAAUAAUAAAAUAAAAUUGUAUUUAUAUCCCGCCCUCCCCAGCCAAAGCCAGGCUCAGAGCAGCUAACAACAGUAACAGCAACACAGUUUACAUAAAAUCACAAUCAAUUAAUUGAAAUAUAUUCUAAAAUCAAUUCAGAAUCAAAUUACUGGCAACCAUUGGGCUAGAGUUCUGUGAGGAUUACCAAAGGCGGGGGUCAGACUGUGCCUUGGCCAAUGGCCUGGUGGAACAGCUCUGUCUUGCAGGCCCUGCGGAAAGAGGUAUUUGAGCUUUCACACAACGUAAACACCACUUUUGGAAAAACUAACAUAAUAGAGCACUGAAUAACUUGCAUGCAUGGAUUUGGGGCGGCAUACAACAGUCAUUUCCUGCUUGUUAUGUACUGAGUUGAAUAGGAUCCAAAAUGCAGCAGUCUGAUUGGUCCUAGAACAAUAGGAUUCAGAAUGCAGCAGUCUGAUUGGUCCUAAAACAGUGCAGCAGUAUGAUUGGUCCACAGGAGCCACCCAACCAACUCCGGGUGGAAGUGAAUCUGCAACCUGAUUGGCCCACAGGAGAAUCCCGGAAUUAGCCAAUCACGUGCGGCCCAUUCUGUAAAUAAUGUAUCUAAAGCAGAUAUUUUGGGGAAGCUUUCAUUCCUCACUACUAUGAGCUGAAUAAAGAGCAUGAAAUCCACACUCGACUCCGAGUAUAUUUCCCUGCUGUUUUCAUGGGGAAAUCAUGGAGGAGCAGAAGCAUGCAUGUGCAGAAAGGUGUGUGGCACACUUUUGCUGCAUGCCAAGGGUGGGGAACCUGUGGCCUUCCAUUAGUUGUUGGACUCCGACUCCCAUCAGCCCCAGCCAGCAUGUCCAAUUGUCAGUGAUGCUGGGAGAUGGUGUGUAGCAAUAUCUAGAGGGCCAGUGGUUAUCUACCCUGUUGUAUGUUAUUAUUGAGAAUAUACCAGGAGGGAGAACUGUAUGUCUCCACUGCCAUCGGUUUUAAUGAGCUUGGAUAUACAAGGCGUCUCUCAAAGUUCACCUUGAAUUUAUAGCAUCUGACUAUUACACCACAUUUGUUUUUACUGCAUUAUUUAAACUUGUCAUGAACAGGGUAUUUAACUUCAUAUGAUCUGAAGUCACUGCCAAAUGAGACUUGGCACAGAUUCCGAGGGCUUUACAAAACACGCUCAAAAAGGCGGCUCAUCAGGAAGAUCAAUUCUGAUGCCUAGCACUGGCAGGCGGGGAAUUUUCUCAACUCGCUACUUUGCUUAGCACGAAGCACGGUGCUUUGAUGCUUGCAGCUUUUUCCGUAACAGUUCCUGACUAGGGCUGCAAAUUUUCAAUCGGAAAAUUAAUCGGCUGAAGCGUCGGGCGGGGGGAGGGGGCAAUUGGAAGCCAAUGAGGCAAUUUUAAUUGGGUGUAGAGAAUUAAUGUCAGACUUGGUUUUGGGUUUUUUGUUUUAGCAUUGUUUUGUUCUAACGUGUGACGGUAAAAAACAAAAUCAAGAUAGUCUUUCCUUUUAGCAAUGAGGAGUAGAUUUAUUAAUUUAUUUUUUUAAAGAUCAGGAUAUGUUUUUACACUUCUUUAUGUUUCCAAAAAAAGAAGAAGAAAGAAAAGGCACCUAUAAGUUUGGAUGGUAUAAAACUGCAUUUAUAUUUACAGUGCAAUCCUUUGCCUGGCUAUCCAGAAGUAAGUACCAUUAGGUUCAAUGGAACUUACUCCUAGGUAAUUGUAUAUUUGCACUUUGCUGUGUUUUUACCUGCCCUGACUAAUGUUAGGUGUAGGUAGCAAUGGAUGAUUUUGUCAAUUUCAGGUUCUCUCAAUUUCUCAUUCUUCUAUUCUUAAAUUCGGAUAUCCACAUAUCCACAUCAGUUUACAGGUUGUUGUUUUUUAAAGUCCUCAUGAAAAUUCAUCGUUGAAUUUCUUCUAAUCUACAUGAAUGGAUACCUAAUUUUGCCUAAUCCCCACAUUUUUACAAAGCAUUUUAGUGUUAUUUUCGCCAAUGCAUGCGUUUUUAUGAACACUUUGACCCCUUAUAUGUAUUUUGGUAUAUAUUAUUUGGCUGAAAAAAUGCCCUGCAAAAUUCAUAGUCUCCAACAUUUCUCCGAUGAAAAUAGGGAAGUCCUAGUCCAUAAUGAUGAUUUUAUACCCCACACAUCUUACUGGGUUGUCCCAAUUGCUCUGGGCAGCUUCCAACACAUAUAAAAACAUUUUUAAAAUUAAACAUUAAAAAAAACUUCCCUAUACAGGAUUGCCUUCAGACAGUGGCGUAGCGUGGGGGGUGCAGGGGGGGCCGGCUGCACCGGGCGCAACAUCUGGGGGGGGGGCGCCCUUGCACUCGCAGCUCUCUGCCCCUACCUGGCUCACUCACUCUCUCUCACUGCAGUGCUGGCUGUGCGGAUCCGAUCCGAGCCGCUGGGUCGCCGCCCACUGUGGAGGGGGUGGGUGCCAGGCGUGCGGUGCGGAGAGAGAGCGAUGGACUAUCUGGGGGAGGGACAGUGCAGCGGCCGCCCAGCGCAGCGCUGAGCGCAGGAGAGAACCACACCAGACCAGACCAGGCAGCAGCAAGAAGAAGCUGGCAGCGGCGGCAGGUUAGGGGUUAGGGGGCACAAAUUACUUGCCUUGCCCCGGGUUAGGGGGCGCAAAUUACUUGCCUUGCCCCGGGUGCUGACAACCCAUGCUACGCCGCUGCCUUCAGACGGUUCAGGGAUCAGAUAACUCCACACCCUCCAACAUUUCUCCAAUGAAAAUAGGAACAUCCUAAGGAAAAGUGGAACACUUGGGGAUCAAAUCAGAAACUGGGGCUGCUUCUCUAAAUCAGGGACGUCCCUGGAAAAUAGGGACACUUGGAGGGUCUGGGAUUAUUAGUAUUAUUUAUUGAAUUUAUAUAUCACUCUGUACUCGGAGGUCUCAGUGUUGAUUUUGAGUAUUGUUUCAGAAAGGGUGAAUUAGAUUUGCCUUUAAAUGUGAACUGAUUCAAAUUUUCCCCACCCUCCUAAGAAUAGGCUGGCAUGUUACAAAAAAUAGGCUCAUGGGUGCUGGAUUCGGCCUGUGUGCCGGAGAUUCUCUACCCCUGUUGUAUUAUUAUCACUUAUUAAAUAUAGACUGCCCAUCAUCUGACAGUUGCUGUGAUUGAGUAAUUCAUCAGUUAGAAUGCAGAUUCUUCAUAAUCUAUAAAUUCUUUGAACGGCCGACAGUUUUAAUCCUGUCUUAAGAAGACGCCACUCUCAGACUUUUUGAAUCAAUAGUUUUUGAUUCAAACAUUUUAAAAUCGUAGUUUGUGAGUGUAUGUGUUUUUAAAAGAUGUUCAAACAUAAUCAAAUCUGAAUAUCUAUUUUGUUUGGAUUCUCUUCCUUUCAUCUAGCGAUAAUAAUAAUAAUAAUAAUAAUAAUAAUAAUAAUAAUAAUUUAUUAUUUAUUAUUUGUACCCCGCCCAUCUGGCUGAGUUUCCCCAGCCACUCUGGGCGGCUCCCAAUCAAGUGUUAAAAACAAUACAGCAUUACACCAACAAUACACCAAGAAUCCCAACCAUAAAUGAAUGGCAAUCCAAACUACUUGACUAUCUAGAAUUGGCAAAAAUGACACAGAAAAUAAGAAAUCAAAAAGACACAAAGUUUAAUAAAGAUUGGAAUAAAUUCAUGGCAUACAUGGAAACAGAGGUAAAAAAAAUUAAAAAUUACAGUAGGUGUGAUAUAACACUUGUGAUGUAAAAAAAUUUUUUUGAGGAAAAGAAACUGCAGAUAGAAAAAUUUUAUAACACAUUCCGAAACCGAGAUGAAGGGAAGUCAGUCAGUGUUGUGUGUUAUGUAGUUAAUGUAGUCAAUUUGUUGUUGUCUUAUGUCAGGAGUAUAUAUAUAUAUAUAUAUAUAUAUAUAUAUAUAUAUUAUUUUCUCUUUAUUUAGUUUUUUUGGUGUGAAUGUGUUGUGUAUGUCUUUUUUGUUUGUAUGGUGUUAGAAAAUGAAUUAAAACCAAUAAUAAUAAUAAUAAAAAACAAUACAGCAUUAAAUAUUGGAAACUUCCCUAAACAGGGCUGCCUUCAGAUGUCUUUUAAAAAUAAGAUAGCUGCUUAUUUCCUUGACAUCUGAUGGGAGGGCGUUCCAGAGGGCAGGCACCACUACCGAGAAGGCCCUCUGUCUGGUUCCCUGUAACCUCACUUCUCGCAAUGAGGGAACCGCCAGAACCCCUCGGAGCUGGAUCUCAGUGUCCGGGCUGAAGGAUGGGGGUGGAGAUGCUCCUUCAGGUAUACAGGACCGAGGCCGUUUAGGGCUUUAAAGGUCAGCACCAACACUUUGAAUUGUGCUUGGAGACGUACUGGGACCAGUGUUAUGUGAUCCCGGCGGCCACUCCCAGUCACCAGUCUAGCUGCCACAUUCUGGAUUAAUUGCAGUUUCCAGGUCACCUUCAAAGGUAGCCCCACGUAGAGCGCAUUGCAGUAGUCCAAGCGGGAGAUAACUGGAGCAUGCACCACUCCGGUGAGGCAGUCUGUGGGUAGGUAGGGUGUUAGCCUGCGUACCAGGUGGAGCUGGUAGACAGCCACCCUGGACACAGAAUUAACCUGCGCCUCCAUGGACAGCUGUGAGUCCAGAAUGACUCUCAGGCUGUGCACCUGAUCCUUCAGGGGCACAGUUACCCCAUUCAGGACCAGGGAGUUCCCCAUACCCGCCCGCCCCCUGUCCCUCAAACACAGUACUUCUGUCUUGUCAGGCUUCAACCUCAAUCUGUUACCCGCCAUCCAUCCUCCAACCGCCUCCAGCACUCACACAGGACCUUCACCGCCUUCACUGGUUCUGAUUUAAAAGAGAGGUAGAGCUAGGACCAUACCAGUUUGGUGCCCUUCUCCAAUUCAGCACAUCUUUUUAUGAAGAGGGUGAGUGAAACAAUCAGGCCAUGGCUGCGAUCCUAGCCCCACUUACUUAGAAGUAAGCUCCAUAGGACUUCUGAGCAGACAUAGUUAGGACUGCACUGUUAAUUCUCCCCCAACUGUUUAAUUCCUCCAUAGGCCCAACAGUUCACAACUGUUGACACCCACCUAUCUUUUCUGAGUGAUAGUAAUACCAUAUCAAGCACUGGGCCAAUUUACCUGAAACCCAAUAAAGCAUAAUUCACACCCCAAAAAAGUUGCUCAGAAGCAGUCAUGUGCCACCCAGUUAGCAAAUGCACCUCAAGGGGGAGGGGGCGUGCAGACGAGAAGGAAAACAAAAGCCAUCCAAUCGCCGCAACGUUUUUGACUCUUUGCAGCUUUGUCUUAAUCACAGAAUGACUGGAUGGACUUCCCUUGCUCUGAAUAAACUUCAGUAUUAAAUUUUGCAGCCUUGGUUUCAUCUGUGAGGGAGAAGGAUCUGACCUCCGCAUUCCUGACGGCUGAACGAAAACUCCUGGAGGCAAACAUCAAAGCUCUGUCAACAAUAUGAGUAACACUUUGGACACUACCGAUCGGGGAGACGAAGGGAGGGAGAAGCUCGCUCUACGAAGAACACCCAAGCAUUUGAGAAGAAGAAAAAAAGGAGAGGUUUAAAUAUCUCACUGUUUUUCUUUGCCAGGGUGACCUGCUGUGGAUUUUAUUUUCCUUCGCAAUGCUUAUCCCUCAGAAGGCCUUUUCUCAGAGAUAGGCUGACGUUACUGUACUGAAAGGAAACUGGGCAGGUUCACCAGAGCAAGUUUAUUUGUAGUGUAGCUCCAGCCGCACUGGAGGGCUCCAUUUCGUUUGGGAGACUUCACAAGUUUGGGAUAUCAAUGGCACUUCAAAGAGGCAGAACUGUGAAUUAGCAGACGGGAUCCCUGGCAGGCCCCAAAAUAGAAAGGGAGAAAAGAGCGAAGUUCAAAGCUAGGAAAUGGGUAGAGUUUCUCGAAGGGCACAAAGACUAAAGUAGGCACCGCAGGUCUUCAUAAAUGUUGUGGAGUAUCUCUGGGACAGAGAGGCUGUCCCACUCGUGUGGUGAGGACACAAGGCGGGCAAAUGAUCUCUUUCAGCUUCUGCCUUCUGAAAAAAGGUACAGGAUUAUAAAGGCCAGGACUAGCCACAUGAGAAACAGUUUCUAUGCAAAUGCAAUUCUGGUUCUAAAUGCAGCAUAAGGGGUCUUUAUAGUAUAGUGUAUUUUAAAAUGGGGUUUCAGAGUUUUUAGGGGUUUUUGAAUGUUUUAUGUAGUUUUUCAAUUUCAUUGUUCUGCAUGGGACAAUGACAAUAAAGAUAUCGUAUAUCAUAUAUCGUCUAUAUCGUAAAAAUCGCCCCCACUCCGUCCUUCACUGCGCUCUAAAAAGAGCAGCAUGGUUUUCACGAGGAGUAUGGAGACAACGGGCUUCUCCACACUUCCGUGGGUCCGAGUGGUUUUCUGCUUGACCCACACUUUCCAGUUAUGGGUCCAAGCACUUUCCCCUUUGCACUGCUCGUUUCCCAGGGAAAACCUGGGAGCAAACGUCAAUCCAGAGAAAACCCAAAUUGCCGUUUCCUCUGGCUGAGGCUAAAGAGCGUUUUUCGCUGGGGUGAAUCAGGAGGGCAGGACGAAGCGUGGACAAGCCCAAUGUCCAAAUGCUUUUGGACGUUUCAGAAGUGUCACAUCAUCUUUUGCCAACCUAGUGCCCUCCAGACUAUAGAUCCCAUUGGGUACAGCUGUGCUAACUGGGGUGGAAGGAAGUUGUAGUCCAAAACAUCAGGAGGGCGCCAGGUUUAUUGAUUUAUUGUAUUAGCUCAUUUCGUUUACACCACCUUUUCCUGCAAGAAGCUCGGAGCAGUAAAAAUGGUUCUCUGCUCCCCAUUUUAUCCUCACAACAACCCUGUGAGGUAGGUUAGGCUAUGAGACAGUGACUGGCCCAAGGUCACCCAAUAUGCUUCAUGGCUGAAUGGGGAUUUGAACCCUCGUUUCCUAGGUCCUAGUCCGACACUCUAACCAUUACACCACACUGGUUCUCCACUAUGUUAUAUGAUUCCUAAGUGUAAGAAUGGGCCUUUUCUGUGGUGGCUCCCCAUUUGUGGAAUGCUCUCCCCAGGGAGGUUCAGCUAGCGCUUUCAUAAUACACCUUUAGGUGCCAGGCAAAAACAUUCCUCUUUAACCAGGCCUUGGACUGCCUGACAUCCAAUGCCCUUUUCAAAUGUAUUGGGAAGGGGGAGUUUAUUGGGUUGUUAUUGUUAUUGUUAUGUAUUUUGUGUUUUAUUACAAUCAUUUUUGUUAUUUAUUUAUUCAUUCAUUCAUUAGUGGGGUGGGGGGAAAGCUUUUUCGAUUUGCAUAUAAGAGUCAAAUCUUAAAUCUGAUGUAAAUAUUUAUGGAGAAGUUAUUUAGUCUUUGCAGAUUACUUUGAAACGGAGACAGUGCAACACUGUUUAUCUUCAGUUCUGACUGAAUGAAUUACAUAAUUCAUACGUGGUUCAUCAUCGUUUUCUUUUUUGUUGUUUUCUUUGUAAAUCAAGAAAUUCUUUAAUAAAUAAAAAAAAAAGGAAAUGUAUUUUGUGUUUUUAUAUUGUAAUUUUUAUGUUGUAUACCUGCCAGUGUAUGGCAGUGUACAAAUUUAAGAAAUAUACCGUAUUUUUUGCUCUAUAAGACUCACUUUUUCCCUCCUAAAAAGUAAGGGGAAAUGUGUGUGCGUCUUAUGGAGCGAAUGCAGGCUGCGCAGCUAUCCCAGAAGCCAGAACAGCAAGAGGGAUUACUGCUUUCACUGCGCAGCGAUCCCUCUUGCUGUUCUGGCUUCUGAGAUUCAGAAUAUUUUUUUUCUUGUUUUCCUCCUCCAAAAACUGGGUGCGUCUUGUGGUCUGGUGCGUCUUAUAGAGCGAAAAAUACGGUAAUCAUAAUCCUUUGCACAUCUACUCAGAUAUAAGUCCCAUUAAGUUCAAAUGCAUUUACUCCCAAGUAAGCAGUGACCCUCACCCAGGAGCCACCUCCCAUGCAAUUUCCUAGGACACUCUUUUGCUACCCUUCUUUUUUGCAAUGCAUUUCUUUCUUCUUCUUUCAUUUUUGGCAGUCUGUAAGUGUCCACUUCACUCUGCCUUACAGUAGGGCCACCCUUGGUGAUCUAGAAGUUGGACCCAGAUCAGAACCAGUCUCUGUCCUUCAAAUGCUUAUUAUUAGCAAUGCAUUCGCUGCUUAAGAAGCGGCAUUUCGUUUACUCCUGUGCUGACUUCAGCUGGAGAAGGAGUUCCUCUGGCAAAGGAACAGCAGAAUCUGACACAAAGGCUUGGUGUUCGCUGGGUAAGCAGCCUCUCUGCUGGACAUAAUAGCUCAAGAGCAAACAGCCAGAAUCAUGUGAACUUGGACGAGCUUAUUGGCUGGAAUCGAGAGCUCAAGUGAGCAGCUUACUGUAGCUUUGAGUCUGGGGCAGGCUGUCAACCACAGCCUUAUGGCUCAGGGAAACGACUCGGGUGUAAAAUGCUGUUGUGCGUGUCAAAUGGGAGUCAAGGCUGCGGAGCGGGUGGUGGCGGGAGACACAUGGAGGGCACCUUUCAAAGCCAGAGAUAAGCCUUAAUUCCAGGACUGUGAGCUUUUGAUGCCAAGGGAAAUUGGCAAGGGAAUCACUGUGAGCUAUGUCAAGAGAGGGGACGCGGGUGGUGCUGUGGGUUAAACCACAGAGCCUAGGACUUGCCGAUCAGAAGGUUGGCGGCUCGAAUCCCCAUGACAGGGUGAGCUCCCAUUGCUCGGUCCCUGCUCCUGCCCACCUAGCAGUUCAAAAGCAUGUCAAAGUGCAAGUAGAUAAAUAGGUACCGCUCUGGCGGGAAGGUAAACGGCGUUUGUGUGCUGCUCUGGUUCGCCAGAAGCGGCUUAGUCAUGCUGGCCACAUGACCCGGAAGCUGUUUGCCGGCUCCCUCGGCCAAUAAAGCGAGAUGAGCGCCGCAACCCCAGAGUCGGCCACGACUGGACCUAAUGGUCAGGGGUCCCUUUACCUUUACCUAUGUCAAGAGAAAGGCUAUUUGGUAGCUGAAAGCGGAGUCUACAAACAACAGCAGAAAUCAUGAUGUGGGAAGAUGGAGUUGUAGUUGUACACACUUAAGAGUCCAAGUGAAGUGUGACUAUAUUAGCCUAUUUAUUCCAGGACUUCUGUUUCUCUCUUUCUCUCUAAUUCUCUCUGCGUGGUGCUACUCUUGAGGUUACUCCAGAGGCCGCAGCUAGUGCAGAAAGCAGAGGCUAGGUUGCUUGUGGUGGCAAACUUCCACCAGCAUUUAAACUCUUGGUUAUAGAAUCUAAGUUUGCAGUGGCAUGCAGUGAAAUUUUUUGUAGGGGAACACUUUGGGCCAGAGGUCCCAGCUUGGAGUUGUCAUUCAAAACAGUGGAAAGUCACCAGGUUGGGGGAGUCUGUUCCAAUUUCUCCCAUGUAUUGCCCACAUGCUCCUUAGCGGUUGCAAAACAGGAGCAAAGAGAAGGAAGAAGAAGAAGAAAAAAGAAACACAAGAAAAAGGAAAAAGGAAAAAAAAGGGGGGGGGGAAAGACUCCCAGUUCUCUGCCUGCCAGCUAAAUAUAAUAACUUGUUGCAAGUAUUCACUCAAACUGGCACCCAGCUAUUCUAUAAACCAGUAUUUUGUCAAUCUUCAAAUCCAGAUAUUACAAGUUCAUUUUCUCUUUCACGCAGAAAGUCCAUAAGAAGUUUUCAGUAGUUUAUUCAACUUUCAUGAUAUUUCCCUAACUGUCAAUUUCCACAUUAUGUUUGAUAUUUCACAUGAUGUAAAAGCCAAUUCUGGAACUAUAGUGGAAUAUAAGGUAAAAGGUAAAAAGCAAAGGACCCCGGGAUGGUUGAGUCCAGUCAAGGGCGACUAUGGGGUGUGAUGUUCAUCUCACUUCAGGCCGAGGGAGCCAGCGUUUGUCCAGCUUUCUGGGUCAUGUGGCUAGCAGGACUGAACCGCUUCUGGCACCAUGACAGAAGCCAGAGCACACGGAAACACCAUUUACCUUCCCACCGCAGCGGUACCUAUUUAUCUACUUGCGCUGGUGUGCUUUCAAACUGCUAGGUUGGCAGGAGCUGGGACAGAGCAAUGGGAGAUCAACCUGUCGCAGGGAUUUGAACUGCCGACCUUCUGAUCAGCAAGCCAAGAGGCUCAGUGGUUUAGACCACAGCGCCACCCGCGUCCCUUGUUAUGCAAAUAAGGGUGAGAUGCAAUGCAUCAACUCCUGAGCAACCACAGUUUGUGUUAACUGCUCUGAGAUUUCUUGGGUUUAAAAACUUCAGAGCAAUUUUUAAAGAGUCUUUACAGAGAAAUAGACGCCUGGAAUUAUCCGCAGCACAAAACAAGGUAAGAAAAGAAACUCUGAAUUGUUAGACUUUGUACCUCCCUCCCCUAUUUCCUCAACAUACUGGACUUUUUUUAUUAUUUUUUAUAAAUUGAGCCUUCUAUCUAUGCUCAAGCCAAGAAUAGUAGUCGGGAAGGGGGAAAAGGGGGGGGGAUCUUUAACAGUGUAUUUAUACGUUAACGUCAUUCAUUUGCGUAAAAGGCCCUCGCAGCUGCUUUGAUUUAAACAGCCAGCAGAUGUUGGAACUUAAAGCACCUGCUAAGAAAAGCAGAUUCUUUAUAGCCCUGGCCUAGCCCCGUCUCCAUGGGAUUUUAUUUUUCCCCUGGCCUCCUUGCUGCGGCCCAGCAGUGUCUGCCCUAUUAGAUCAUUUGGACAGGCAAUGGCUGCGGUGGGUCUUGGACCCUCCAUCCUGUGUAUCUGCCAGGCUGGCUUUGAUAGCACAGCCAAGCCACUGCUGGUUGAAAUGUCAAAAAUGCCCGAAGCUUCUCUCUCCCGUCCCUUCCCCUCCCCACCGCCGUAUAUACACAAAUGAAACCCCGGAGGGCUGGCGGCGCAGAGAAAGCAGAUGCCGUUCUCUUAUGCUGCUUAUAAAAACAGAAGCCCACACCACCUCCUGCCCAGGUUUAACUUUACAACACCUAGGUGUAGCAGCUUUCCCUCCAAAUGGGUGAGACUGUGUAUUUUCGGGCACACAAUGAACUGAUUGUCAGGAGCAGUCUGAGCGCAGUAUGAGGAUCCGUGAUGCAGCAGCCUUGAGGAUGCUAGAUGUCAUGGACUGGUUGGCUGCAGAGGAAUAGUGGAAGGAACCAGCUGGGGAACUACCAAGAGAAGAAGAGACCAGGCAGUGGUGGUGGGUAACUGGUUUUUGUGGAGGAAGACCACCGGGAAUGAGGUGCUCUGCUUAUUAGACCACCAAGUCUGUGGAAUUCAUGUUUUGGCUAAUAAAGAGUUAACUCCAUCUUUGUUGUUGUUUAGUCGUUUAGUCGUGCCUGACUCUUCGUGACCAUGGACCAGGCACUCCUGUCUUCCACUGCCUCCUGCAGUUUGGUCAACUCAUGCUGGUAGCUUUGAGAACACUGUCCAACCAUCUCAUCCUCUAUCGUCCCCUUCUCCUUGUGCCCUCAAUCUUUCCCAACAUCAGGGUCUUUUCCAGGGAGUCUUCGCUUCUCAUGAGGUGGCCAAAGUAUUGGAGCCUCAGCUUCAGGAUCUGUCCUUCAGGGCUGAUUUCCUUCAGAAUGGAUAGGUUUGAUCUUCUUGCAGUCCAUGGGACUCUCAAGAGUCUCCUCCAGCACCAUAAUUCAAAAGCAUCAAUUCUUCAGCGAUCAGCCUUCUUUAUGGUCCAGCUCUCACUUCCAUACAUCACUACUGGGAAAACCAUAGCUUUAACUAUACGGACCUUUGUUGGCAAGGUGAUGUCUCUGCUUUU